GGCGAGGAUCUGGAGAAGGGUGGCGCCGCCGGCGCCGUGGUGGUGGAUCGCGUCGGGGAUGCGGAGGUCCAGCGCCACGGCGAGCGCGAGCGAUUUGGCGAAGCACAGGGAAUGGUGCAAGAGCUCGUCGUGAGCUUGGAGCAAAUCAUGGCUACUACUCUCCUGCAUGAUGAGUGCCAUCGUUCCCACUUCCCACGUACGUAGCUAUGCCUAUACACUGCUGUGCUGGCCAAUGGCUAAUUGGUUGUGGGUGACUGCAGAGACGGAUGGAACCUGGUGUUUAUUUAUAGUGUUCUGCUUUUCUACGACUGCAGCGUAGCAUCCAUGCACAUGCAUCAAUCGAUCAAUCGAUCAAUGUUUUAAUAAUGGUUCUUUCUUCGAAGCUGUGCCCGUUUGGGACGGCUUGUUGAGCAGCUCCACGAGCCGGGGAACGGUUUCACCAGCCAAAGGCGAUUUUGCCGCUGAUGCUUAGACAUGACGUAUCCAGUAACCAUAACACCAAAAUGGGAAAUUUAUGACGGUCAACUUAUGUCCGACGGUUUUUUUUGACGACCGCCCUUAUCUGUGUCGGACAUAAGUUCAUACGUUCGACGGCUUGUCAUAAGCCGUCGGCAAGACGCUUAUGCCGACAGCUGUCAGACAGAUCGUUGGACUGUCAUACAAGCCGUCGGAAAUAAAGAAUUUUAAGUCCGCGGCGCCCGACCGUACCGUUUCAUUUCGCACGUAAGCCACUUGACCAGCACCGCCGUUACGCCGGGCGGGAGCCAUCCUCGACGGAGCCAUCAGCGCCCGCCCACGCUAGCGCCCACCUCGCCCCCACUGCCUCGUCGGCUCCAACGCUCGUCCAGCCCUACGUCACCCACCAGCGGCCACACCGAUCUCACCAUCGGCUAAGUGAGUAAUUUUAUUUUGUAGUAUAAUUUUGUAGAUGUAUAAAUUAUUAAAUGAAUUUUAGUAUUAAAUUAUUUGUAUAUUAAAUAUUGUUGAGUUUGUUAUGUUCGACGACCGGAAUUUGAUUAUGUAAUUAAAUUAGCUUGUUUUAGUUUAUUUAGUGGUGCUUAGAUAAUUUAAACUUUUAAUUUCCUAGGGUUUAAUUCCGCCCCCAAAAUAAGGUCAUUUUAUAUGAUUUAUGGUCCCGUAACAAUGUUUUUUCGUAUAUAAUAUUUUAUUGGUGGUUUAUUAGUUGAAUUAUAUAAUAAUGUACGAUGGUUCUAGUUAUUCGUAGUGUAUCGUAGUGUCAUCAAACGACACCUACACGUCACCCGUUUCGGGCCAACACACCUCACAUGUGACGCAUCUGAUGUGUGUUGGGCUGGAAUUGUCCCUUUAUUGGACAACCUCGGGGUGACCGACAUUGCUCGUGUUUAUGAUAAAGGCAUGUGUCCCUGUAUAGUUUUGGCACUAUAACCCCUAUGUUCUCCAAUUGCACCAUUUUUCAAGCGUGCGAGUGGAGAACAACAGGGUUAUGUUGUCGAAAUUUCGCACGAGCACAUGCCUUGUCAUAAACACAGGCUUGUCGGUCAUCCUGGGUGGAUUUAGGACCUAUCCUUUUCUAUAGAUGUAGGGGCGUGAUUUACUUAACUAAUCAAGUUAACGUCUAGUAUGGUGGAGGACCGUCGAUGGAUGUAUGAAGGUUGGAAGAAGAGAGGUGCUCUAACAAGUGAGUGGGUUGCCAAGACUGACGUGUUUCUCGACCAUGCUUUUGCUCAGUCAGAGACUGUAACCAAUGUUAGGUGCCCUUGUAGAAAGUGUCAGAACAUUUAUUUCCUUAACAGGAUCACGUCGAUAGAUCUUUGUAAUAAUAGUUAUAUACCUGGCUAUGAGGUGUGGGUGCACCAUGGUGAGGAUCCACCUCCUCCUAUUGUAUCAAAAGUUCAGUCGCAUGAAGAGGGGGACUACGAUAGGAUGAAAGAGAUGCUUGAUGAUGUACGCCAUGAGCUUCUACUCGUCGAUUCCGAGAACCCCCGUCAACCCCCCGAUUAUGAGGAUUCUCCUACGCCUGAGGUUCAGAAGUUCUUCGAGCUCCUUAAAGUUGUCGAAGAGCCGUUGCACGACCACACUAAAGUGACUCGACUUAUGGCUAUUAAUACCAAUUUUGCAUUCUCAAACAACUGCUACAAGGAGCUUUUGAACUUGAUCAAUGAUGUACUUCUGGAGAAUCACAAGAUGCCAAAGGACAUGUACCAGUCCAAGAAGUUGCUCUCGGGUCUCGGUAUGGACUACGAAAAAAUCGAUGUAUGUGACAAUAAUUGUAUGCUUUACUAGAAGGAGACCGCGAGCGAGAAGAAGUGUAUUGUAUGUGGUGAGCGUAGAUUCGUAGAGGUUGAAAAUGACGAUGGUUUGACCGUGACGACCGAGGUAGCAUGUAAGCAGCUUCGUUACAUGCCUCUUAUACCUCGGUUGAAACAUUUGUUUAUCUCCAAGAAUAUAGGCAGACACAUGAGGUGGCACAAAGAAGGCUACGUGAAAAUCUCGAUGUCAUGGCACACCCAACUGGUAUAGAUGCAUGGAAGGAACUAGAUGCCUUUGAUUCCAGCUUUGCUGACGAAGUGCGGAAUAUCCACUUCGGUUUGGCAACAGAUGAUUUCUCACCUUUCAAUCUAACUGCAUUGUCUUACUCAUGCUGGCCCUUUUUUGAUGUUCCAUACAGCCUUCCGCCAGCUCUUUGCAUGAAAUAUGAAUUAAGUCCUUGCUGAAAAUAGAAUUUUUUGCCCCUACUAAAAAGUCUUAUGUCCGAUGGCUUUAUUCAAGCCAUCGGACAUAAGAACGAAUUAAGUCCGAGGGCCACUGGAGGCCGUCGGCCAUAAGACGGUCUUAUGUUCGACGACUUGACUAGAGUCGUCGAACAAAAUGCCUGCGGGACCCACGAGUGAUAAUUACGACCGUUAACUAUGGUAAAUGGCAACGACCCUUUACGGUCGCCGGACAUAGAGCGCUAUUUCUGACCCAUUACAACCGAGGGACAGGCGUCGUCGGAUAUAUAUAAGUCGGUGACCGUCGGACAUAAGCUAUGUCUGACGGUUUAUGGUUUAUUUCCAACGGCUUGGGCUGUCAAAAUUUUUAUCUUUUACUAUAGUGAACAGUUCAGAAAAGUCUCUGAAAUUAGUGUAGAAUUUUCCUGAUCAUAUUAUAUGGAGCUAAUAAAUACUCCCCGACCCAAAAUAUAAUUCGUUUUAGGCUAAACACACAUUCAUUAGUCAAUUUAUGUGAAUAUGUAGUCUGUAUGUAUGUCCAUAUUCAUUAUCGUUCAACCGAACUGUAACACCCUGAAUUUGAGGGUAUACAAUUACUUUUCUAAUAUCCACCAAAUUUAGGUGUUACUCUCUCAGUUCUUCGUUUUCCUUUCUCUUUUUACUAAAAAUGGAGAAUUAUUCUGUUUUAUAUAAGUUUAAGCCUAGUAAAGUAAAACACUAAAAAGGGGGUCCUUGAUGGUUGCAUAGCAUGUCGAGGCAUGUUUUUCUUUUGUGAUGGUACAUUUAUUCAAAAUUUAGGAAACAUGUUUGAAUUUGAAUUCAAAACUAAAACGUGUUUUCAAAAAGAACAAAAGAAAGAGAGAAGAAGAGAAGUAAAUAAAAGGAAAACUCCCUCAGCUCCUCCUCUCUCUCUCGGCGGCCCGGCUCCCUCGGCCCAGCUGUCCCCUGCGCCCCCCUCCUUCCCCCCCGGCCCAGCUCGGCUUUUCCCCUGGCCGGCCCACGCCGCGAGCGCCCCAGCCAGCCUUUCCCACGGCCCAGGCGCAGCAAGCUGCGGGCAGCCCAUCCCGCGCCCUAGCGCGCGCAGCGCUCAAGCCGCCCCCUGCACAGCCGCCACGCCCAGCGUGCUCUCAGUCGCCGACGCGCCCCACAUCGCCCACGUCUUAUCCCAACCGCCCAUGCCACUCCCUCUUCUUCUCCCUUUGUUCCUCUUCCUCUCUGGCUGCUCCCUCCAUCCCCACGCGUUCUUCCCCUCCCCUCUGUGCUCGGCCAGCACGGCAGCUUGCCCCCUGCCGCGACUCCUAGCCCGCGCCCGCCCUGCUCAGCGAGCCAGAGGCUCCGGCGAGCUCGUCCCAGACCCCUCCCAUGGCCCCUGCCGCGGCUCCGACCCCCCCUGCCUUGCCCCUUCCGCGAGCGCGACGCGUUGCCAGCGCACGGCCCGGCCUGCUCUAGGCUGGCGCGGCCAGCACCCCCGCCCAGCGCGCUCGCCCGGCCGCCUCCUGUGCGCGCGCGAGCUCCGCGGCUCGGCCGGCCAUGGUGCGGCCAAGCCUAGUGGCCCGGUGCGGCAUUGUGGCCAUCCACGGCAACAGCCCCGCCGCUGUCCAGUCCUGGCCACGGCUUCCCGGCUCCUGCGUGCACUCAUGGCGGCUCUCCAGCCGCGGCUGCGCGUCCGACCCGCAACCCCGCCCCUGUGCAGGAAGCCCAGAGCCGUUGUUCCGAGGAAGAAGGAAGCUCGUUUCGCGAAAAUUUCCUCGACUGUAUAGGUAAUAAACGUCCAUAUUUAUGAGUUCGCAUAAAUAAUUUGCUACACUUGAAAGUCUGCAUUUAUUUAUGCACAAGUCUGCGAUAUCGUGCACACAUUAGAAUUAUUAUAUUGUCACGUCGCAAGUUUUAAUUAUUUAAUUAGUGGUUUAUUCAAUACUUAUGACCUUCUAAUUAAAACUAGAUUAUAGUUCAUCCCGCGCGUCGUUUGUACUAAUUCCGCGUCGCGCGUUUUGCGGGCAUUAUUAUUAUUCCUCGCGUAAAGUCGACUAGGUUGGUUAAUUAAUUAUACAUUAACCGCGUAGCGAUCUUGUGCGCACGUUAAAUAUAUAUCGUCGUCAUUCGUCACGCGUCGCCAGCCAGUAGCACCCCCCGUCUACCCCCUGGGCGUGCGCGCGUUCGCGCCGUUCGCACGUAUCGUUGUUGCCUUUCUCGUGCGCGGUUUGUGCGCGUCGUCACCGUUCGUUCGCGCUGCGUCGCUCACGCGAUCCGCGCACAUUAGUUAAUCAUUUCGCUUUAAUCGUUCAUAAUUAGUAAUGAGAUCUUAUUAGUCGUUGACUGGUUGUUAAUUCAAUUUAUCUAAUAUGUUCCACGUAAAUAAUUUAUAUUAACUAAAAAUCAACUUAGAAAUAUAGUUUUGUACAUCUAAUUAUAAUCUGGUGAUAGUCGCAUGUCGCGUGCUGUCUACGCGCUGUCCGCACGUGUGGCGCUCGCCGUCGCUAUGUUGUUCGUGCGUAUAGUUCAGGCGUUAUUCUCGUGUUGUCACGCGCUGUUCGUGCGUGUCACGCGUGCGGUUCGCACGCGUUGUCACACGUCAUCUGCGUGCGUCGCGUGUGCCACUCACACAUGUCGCUCGCCUUGCUGCGCAUCGUUCGCACGUAUCUCGCGUGUCGAUGACGUGUGUCGCGCGACGUCUGCGGGUUAUAAUAAAUUGUUUUCGCCUAUAAUCACUCAUGUUAAUAAGAUUAAUUCGUCAAGUCAUAUGUUUUAGAUAAUUAACUUAGGGGUCACUCGACUAAUAUUUAUUAGAUUAAUACUCUAACUAGAUUAAAUGUGUAGCGUUCCACUUAGGCUUAUAUAAUAAAUAUCAGUUAAUAUAAUCGGGUCCAAUCAAAUGUUUUAACUAGUAUUUGUUUAGUGUAAACCCGUUAUCUUCUCGACCGUAGCUUCGAGUUCGACGUUUCUUUUUCCUCGCUUGACCGUAGUAACGCCCUCUGUUUCAUUUUGCAUGUUUUAUCAUGUUUUUCUUUGAAUGGUGUAAUGUUCUUAUGCAUAUAUAUGUUUGUUUGCUGCUGCAUGUUCGUCUUCGCUUCGCGUUGCGAUUAGAUCACGAUUCGUUUCCGAGCUUCGAGGAAUCAACGAUCAAGCGUUGGCGACCAAGUGAUCAGGUUCUUCGAGUUCCACAAAGUUGAAGACGCUGAGCAUUUAUUUGGUGAAGGCAAGUGUCCUCUGACCCACUAUGUCCCAUUUACUUUAUAAUUCACUGUCCCGCAUACUAUGAACAACCUAAGGAUUGACUAGCUCUCUAUUUACCUUGUCCUUGAUUACCUUUUGGGUUACUAUGGUUAGAUUCAUGCUACUGCCUUACUUUAAUCAAUGAACAUGAUGUGAACACUUAUGAUACGAUGUUGUCAUUAUUAUUAUGAUGUUGGACUGGUGAUACUUUAGGGGGCUCGAGCAGUUUCUCGAGUGCCUCUCCAUAAGUACCUGUUCGUUGGAUGAUCGCCCGGGAAAAAUAGUGCAACCAUGAGGGUGGAAUGGGACGCCCUUAGCUGAAUAAUUAGAGGAACUGGGGUGUAGUUCGCUUCGCCGUCGUGCCGUUAAUGGGGCUCGGUGUAUGCGGCUCGCUCUGCCAAGGUUGGUUCGCCCCUUGGGGAGGAGUGCGGUGCAUUUAGGAAACCUAAUGGGCGGCUACAGCCUCAGAGAAUCUUUGUAAAGGCUACGUAGUGAUACCCUGCUAGGCCACCUAGGUAGUGGUCAAUGGGGAGUAGCUCUCUCUGGGCAGAAAGGGAAUCAUAACUUGUGGGUAAAGUGCGCAACCUCUGCAGAGUGUUAGAAAACUGAUAUAUCAGCCGUGCUCGCAGUUAUGAGCGGCCAAGGGAUCUCCAUUGAUUAGAGAUACUUGAUCAGAGAUGGUUGGAUUACAGGUGGUGACGAGGAUGAUGUUUAUGAUUAUGGUAAUGGUAAGUGGUAUUCUUUCCGUUUGGAAAGAGUACUUUGGGUUAAGAACUUGGGUUAAUGCUAAAACCUGGCUUUCUACUAGUAAUAAUAACCUGACCAACUAAAAGCAACUUCUUGACUUAACCCCACAUAAAGCUAGUCCACUACAGCCAAACGAGACAUUUGCUGAGUAGGUUGAUGUGUACUCACCCUUGCUUUCACAAAACACCAGGUUGCCUUUGGUGCAAUCUAUGCUCAGGUAAAGAAGGUGUCGAGGCGGAUCUCCAGGAGUUCCAGGACUUUGACGAGUUCGAGGAUUAGGCUAGCGACCUCCCCCAGUCAGCUGCCUAUGGUGGGUUGUUUACGUUGGCUACGUUUCGAUUCUGUGUACUUUGAUUUAUAUUAUGUAAAUGGCUCUAGACUGUAAUAUUAUUGCUUACUCUUUAUUGUAAUUCGAAGCAUUGUGCUAUGAUGAGUCAUUUAUGUAAUUGCUGUGUACGUGAAUUACUGAUCCUGGCACGUACAUGGUUCGCAUUCGGUUUACCUUCAAAAUCGGGUGUGACAUAGGUGGUAUCAAAGUCGUGCUGACUGUAGGACCGCUGACCUAGAGUAGCAUGGGCCAUUUUAAGGACUUCUUGACUGUUACUUCACCUCAUCCUUGGUUCGGCUUCAAAAUUUUAGCCAUCUCGACUAAUUCUAUGUUGUGCUCCUAUAUGCCCCCUCGUCAAAAAGUAUUUUAUUCUAGCAUGGUCUAUACUUCUCUCAGUCUAUUAGAAAUUAUCUCACUCUUGUGCUUGCGACAUCUUUAUAGAUGCCCCCUGACCAUAGCCUUUAGUCUUUUGGGACUCUUUCCUCGUCCAUUAUUAAACUGCUACCAUUUGACUAUCUCUAUUCCAUUUUGUUAUUGACAUGCUCGUAUCCUUGCAUUUUUAAUACCCUUAUCCCUUAAUCUAAAGUACUUACCCUUGUACCUCUAUUGCCUAUUUAAACAGUUCAGUUUAUGUGUACAUGACCUUCUUGUCUUCUGAGAUCAUUUCUUAUAAUGUUGUUAAGUCGCUAUCUGUCGGCAAUUUCUAUGUCCUUUGUCUUAGUAUGCUCGUAUCCUUGGAAUCUUGCAUACUCUUAUAUUCUUAUGUAUGCUUAUUUUCAUACACCAAUAGUUGUUCAAGACAUUUCAGUUAACAUGUCCUUGACCACCCCUGUUUCUUAACGGUCCAUGAGCGAUCAUUUUAUGUCGCCCAUCCUUGGUGAUCUUGUUGUUUCUUUAUAACUUCUCUCAAUAAUGAGUUCUUACUUCAACCAUUCUAUUGCACCCUCACCUAUCUUACCCUUGAUUAUUUUCUCCACUUCGCCACUACGCGAGUCUUGCCUUAACUCUAUCAUUUGUCAUGACUUUUGUUAUUAUCACCUUCACCUUAGACACCUCUAUAUCUUACUUGAGGUUUAUCUUAUACCAGCAUUUAAAAUCUUCUCCCUUUCCAUCUCAAUUUGAGCAUCGUACUUUACCUACUUUUCCCUUGGUCGUAUCCUCUUCUUUGUCACCUACGAGUUUUUAACUCUAUCCUUUGUUGUGUUUUGUUUGUUAUUUCCUUUACCCUUCUCAUCACUCUAUCCUGCCUUGUGAUUACAUUAUGUCUGUUAUCUAAAAUCUCCAAUCUCUUAUCCUAAUUUGAGAGCGGUGUUUUACUUAUCUCACCCUUGGCAAUAUCCUCUUCUUCACCUCGUGUAAGCCUUGACAUAACUCCAUUCUUUGUUGUACUUAUACCACUAGCUCUUCAAUGCCUUCGUCUUUUCCCUCAUACCCUUGUCUGUUAUCGCCUCUGACCCUUGUGAUAUUUAUGUCUUCUACCUAAAUUCUUACCUUGAACUUAUCCUUUAAAAGCCUUCCCUUUCUUUCAACUCAGUUUGAGAGUUGCAGGUUACCUAUCUCUCUCUUGAUUUCUUUUCACUUCUUAUCGCCUUACAAGUUUUGUCUUAAUUCCAUCCUUUGUUAUGUGUUUUAUUUGCUAUCACCAUCUCCUUGUCAUCCAUCGAUCUCGCCUUGAUACUCAUCUUUAUUCCUGCUCUUUAAAAAUCCCCUCUCUUCCACCCCAACUUGAGAGUGACAAUAUACUUAUCUAGCCCUUGGACAUAUCCUCUUCUUUUCCACUUGCAGGUCUUGUCUCUUCUUUUCCACUUGCAGGUCUUGUCUUAACUCCAUCAUUUAUGGCACUUAUGUCCUUUGUCUUAUGCCUAUUUACCUCCUCCCCUACAUCCUCGUCCAUUAUUACCUUUAAAACCCUUGUGAUAUAUAUGUCCUUGCCUUCCUGCUUACCUUGAAUCUCCUCUUUGAAGCCUCCUCUUUUCCAUCCCUGUUCGAGGAUAAUGCCUCCUCGAUUUCAUCAUCGACUGCUCCCCCUUCUUUGACACCUUGUAAGUUUUGUCUAGAAUACAUCCUUUGUCGUAUGUUUGACCGUUAUCACCCUCACCCUUGGCAUCGCUUGAUCUUUACCUUGAUGCUUAUCCCAUCUCUGCAUUUUAAAGCCCCCUCUCUCGUUCCAGUUCAAGAGUGUUGUCUUACCUACCCGCUCUUGGUCAUUCCCUUUUCCUUUACCACGUUGCCAGUCAUAGCUUUUGUUUGAUAUACCCCUUACCCUUGUAAUCACUAGAUCUUGACUUGAUACCUAUCUAAGGUCUACUUUUGGAAAUCUCCCCUUUUCUAUCUCAACCCGAGAGUGUUGUUCUACCCAUUAUGCCCUUGGUCGUAUCCUUUUGUUGAUCGCUUACAAUGUUUGUUUUAACUCCAUUCUUUAUGGUGCUCGUGUCCCUAUCAUGCACGUCUCGUUCUUCUCCUUGUCCUUCGACAACCUUAGAGAUUAGUUAUUCCCUUUUUAGAGAAGACCACCAUCUAGUUAGCAUUAACGUGUAGCAACGAGAUGUUUGUUGUUGUAUGCUUGUGAUAUUUGCCUUUGUGUGACGACUUAUUUGCUUCUUUGUGAUGAGUGUUGAUGUGUUGUGGCCCUUAGUCUGCAAUAACAUCAGUUCACUAGGUGAGUGCCAUAUAUUUAAGUAGUUGGGUUCUCCCCCAGCUCUCUCUAAUCUGUCUAUACUUACCUUUUCUCGCUAUUCUUUCCUCUUACACUUGUCCAUUUGGCAAUCUCCAACUCCUCCAAAUCAGUCAAGAUCAAAGUCGACAGCAUCUUCACCAAGUGCAUAUCAACGCUCCUGUUAAGGGGGUUAGCCGCUAACCCCAAUGAAGAAUGCGAUCAACAUCAGCCAACAAGGUCAGAGUGGCGCAGCGGAAGCGUGUGUGGGUCCUAACCCACAGGUCCAGGAGAUCCUCAAGAAUUGCAUCAAUCGGUCUCAAGCAUCUGAUGGUCAAAGCAACCAAUCCACAAGUCAAGCCGGCGGAGUCAAAGUUGAAUUUGAAGAAGCUAUGAAAGACUAAUGAACCAAUCUUAUUUUCUUGCUAGCCUCCUCUUGAAUCUCGAGGACGAGAUUUUGUUAAGAGGGUUAGGUUUGUAACACCCUGAAUUUGAGGGUAUAAAAUUUAUUUUCUAAUAUCCACCAAAUUCAGGUGUUACUCUCUCAGUUCUUCGCUUUCCUUUCUCUUUUUACUAAAAAUGGAGAAUUAUUCUGUUUUAUAUAAGUUUAAGCCUAGUAAAGUAAAACCCUAAAAAUGGGGUCCUUGAUGGUUGCAUAGCAUGUCGAGGCAUGUUUUUCCUUUGUGAUGGUGCAUUUAUUCAAAAUUUAGGAAACAUGUUUGAAUUUGAAUUCAAAACUAAAACGUGUUUUCAAAAAGAACAAAAGAAAGAGAGAAGAAGAGAAAUAAAUAAAAGGAAAACUCCCUCAGCUCCUCCUCCUCUCUCUCGGUGGCCCGGCUCCCUCGGCCCAGCUGUCCCCUGCGCCCCCCUCCUUUUCCCCCCCGGCCCAGCUCGGCUUUUCCCCUAGCCGACCCACGCCGCGAGCGCCCCAUCCAGCCUUUCCCGCGGCCCAGGCGCAGCAAGCCGCGCGCAGCCCAUCCCGCGCCCUAGCGCGUGCAGCGCUCAAGCCGCCCACUGCACAGCCGACACGCCCCACGUCGCCCACGUCUUCUCCCAACCGCCCAUGCCGCUCCCUCUUCUUCUCCCUUUGUCCCUCUUCCUCUCUGGUUGUUCCUUCCAUCCCCACGCGUUCUUCCCCUCCCCUCUGUGCUCGGCCAGCGCGGCGGCUUGCCCUCUGCCGCCACUCCUAGCCCGCGCCCGCCCUGCUCAGCGAGCCCAGAGGCUUCGGUGAGCUCGUCCCAGACCCCUCCCAUGGCCCCUGCCGCGGCUCCGACCCCCCUGCCUUGCCCCCUUCCGCGAGCGCGACGCGUUGCCAGCGCGCGGCCCGACCUGCUCUAGGCUGGCGCGGCCAGCACCCCCGCCCAGCGCGCUCGCCCGGCCGCCUCCUGUGCGCGCGCGAGCUCCGCGGCUCGGCCAUCCCCGGCAACAGCCCUGCCGCUGUCCAGCCCUGGCCGCGGCUUCCCGGCUCCUGCGUGCACUCAUGGCGGCUCUCCAGCUGCAGCUGCGCGUCCGACCCGCAGCCCCGCCCCUGUGCAGGAAGUCCAGAGCCGUUGUUCCAAGGAAGAAGGAAGCUCGUUUCGCGAAGAUGUCCUCGACUGUAUAGGUAAUAAACGUCUAGAUUUAUGAGUUCGCAUAAAUAAUUUGCAACACUUGAAAGUCUGCAUUUAUUUAUGCACAAGUCUGCGAUAUCGUGCACACAUUAGAAUUAUUAUAUUGUCACGUCGCAAGUUUUAAUUAUUUAAUUAGUGGUUUAUUGAAUACUUAUGACAUUCUAAUUAAAACUAGAUUAUAGUUCAACCCGCGCGUCAUUUGUACUGAUUCCGCGUUGCGCGUUUUGCGCGUAUUAUUAUUAUUCCUCGCGUAAAGUCGACUAGGUUGGUUAAUUAAUUAUACAUUAACCGCGUAUCGAUCUUGUGCGCACGUUAAAUAUAUAUUGUCGUCAUUCGUCACGCGUCGCCAGCCAGCAGCACCCCCCGUCUACCCCCUGCGCGUGCGCGCGUUCGCGUCGUUCGCACGUAUCGUUGUUGCCUUUCGCGUGCGCGGUCUGUACGCGUCGUCACCGUCCGUUCUCGCUGCGUCGCGCACGCGAUCCACGCACAUUAGUUAAUCAUUUUGCUUUAAUUAUUCAUAAUUAGUAAUGAGAUCUUAUUAGUCGUUGACUGGUUGUUAAUUCAAUUUAUCUAAAAUGUUCCUCGUAAAUAAUUUAUAUUAACUAAAAAUCAACUUAAAAAUAUAGUUUUGUACAUCUAAUUAUAAUCUGGUGAUAGUCGCAUGUCACGUGCUGUCUACGCGUUGUCCGCACGUGUGGCGCUCGCCGUCGCCAUGUUGUUCGUGCAUAUAGUUCAGGCGUGAUUCUCGUGUUGUCACGAGCCGUUCGUGCGUGUCUCGUGUGCGGUCCGCACGCGUUGUCACACUUCAUCUGCGUGCGUCGCGUGUGCCACUCACACAUGUCGCUCGCCUUGCUGCGCAUCGUUCGCACGUAUCUCGCGUGUCGAUGACGUGUGUCGCGCGACAAUUGCGGGUUAUAAUAAAUUGUUUUCGCCUAUAAUCACUCAUGUUAAUAAGAUUAAUUCGUCAAGUCAUAUGUUUUAGAUAAUUAACUUAGGGGUCGCUCGACUAAUAUUUAUUAGAUUAAUACUCUAACUAGAUUAAAUGUGUAGUGUUCCAGUUAGGCUUAUAUAAUAAAUAUCAGUUAAUAUAAUCGGGUCCAAUCAAAUGUUUUAACUAGUAUUUGUUUAGUGUAAACCCGUUAUCUUCUCGACCGUAGCUUCGAGUUCGACGUUUCUUUUUCCUCGCGUGACCGUAGUAACGCGCUAUGUUUCAUUUUGCAUGUUUUAUCAUGUUUUUCUUUGAAUGGUGUAAUGUACUUAUGCAUAUAUAUGUUUGUUUGCUGGUGCCUGUUCGUCUUCGCUUCGCAUUGCGAUUAGAUCACGAUUCGUUUCCGAGCUUCGAGGAAUCAACGAUCAAGUGUUGGCGACCAAGUGAUCAGGCUCUUCGAGUUCCACAAAGUUGAAGACGCUGAGCAUCUGUUUGGUGAAGGCAAGUGUCCUCUGAUCCACUAUGUCCCAUUUACUUUAUAAUUCACUGUCCCGCAUACUAUGAACAAUCUAAGGAUUGACUAGCUCUCUAUUUACCUUGUCCUUGAUUACCUUUUGGGUUACUAUGGUUAGAUUCAUGCUACUGCAUUACUUUAAUCAAUGAACAUGAUGUAACACUUAUGAUACAAUGUUGUAAUUAUUAUUAUGAUGUUGGACUGGUGAUACUUUAGGGGGCUCGAGCGGUUUCUCGAGUCCCUCUCCGUAAGGACCUGUUCGUUGGAUGACUGCCCGGAAAAAACAGUGCAACAAUGAGGGUGGAAUGGGAUGCCCUUAGCUGAAUAAUUAGAGGAACUGGGGUGUAGUUCGCUUCGCCGUCGUGCCGUUAAUGGGGCUCGGUGUAUGCGGCUCGCUCUGCCAAGGUUGGUUCUCCCUUUGGGGAGGAGUGCGGUGCAUUUAGGAAACCUAACGGGCGGCUACAGCCUCGGGGAAUCUUUGUAAAGGCUACGUAGUGAUACCCUGCUAGGCCACCUAGGUAGUGGUCAAUGGGGAGUAGCUCUCUCCGGGCAGAAAGGGAAUCACGACUUAUGGGUAAAGUGCGCAACCUCUGCAGAGUGUUAUGAAAACUGAUAUAUCAGCUGUGCUCGCGGUUAUGAGCGGCCAAGGGAGCUCUAUUUAUUAGAGAUACUUGAUCAGAGAUGGUUGGAUUACAGGUGGUGACGAGGAUGAUGUUUAUGAUUAUGGUAAUGGUAAGUUGUAUUCUUUCCGUUUGGAAAGGGUACUUUGGGUUAAGAACUUGGGUUAAUGCUAAAACAUGUCUUUCUACUAGUAAUAAUAACCUGACCAACUAAAAGCAACUGCUUGACUUAACCCCACAUAAAGCUAGUCCACUACAGCCAAACGGGACAUUUGUUGAGUACGUUGAUGUGUACUCACCCUUGCUUUCACAAAACACCAGGUUGCCUUUGGUGCAAUCUAUGCUCAGGUAAAGAAGGUGUCGAGGCGGAUCUCCAGGAGUUCCAGGACUUAGACGAGUUCGAGGAUUAGGCUAGAGACCUCCCCCAGUCAGCUGCCUGUGGUGGGUUGUUUACGUUGGCUACGUUUCGAUUCUGUGUACUUUGAUUUAUAUUAUGUAAAUGGCUCUAGACUGUAAUAUUAUUGCUUACUCUUUAUUGUAAUUCGAAGCAUUGUGCUAUGAUGAGUCAUUUAUGUAAUCGCUGUGUACGUGAAUAACUGAUCCUGGCACAUACAUGGUUCGCAUUCGCUUUACCUUCAAAACCAGGUGUGACACGAACGUAGAUAGAAAAAGUGGUCUAGUGCACUAGUAGAAAAGAGCUCUAAGCUGGCGGCACACACAAAUUUUCUCUGGCGGUUUCAGUUAACGCGCCAGUGAAAAUAAAUAGGUGGGGCCGGCUUAAGCAACCACCAGUGGAAAUGGGCUAUUUCUACUGACGGUUGGUAUAAAAGAAUCGCAAGUGAAAAUAUAAUUUCCACUGUCGGUUCCUUAAGCGAACCGCCAGUGGAAAUAGCCUGUUUCCACUAGCGGUUGUGCUAAGGGAACCACCCAUGGAAAUAGGUUUCCACUAGCGGUUUCUUUAGCCAACCUCCUGUGAAAUUUGAGUUAUAAAUACGCCUUCUCCUCCCCGACAGGAGCUGUAGCUCGCAUCCAACUUCCAUUGGAAACAAUUUUGGAGGUACAGAUUUCACAAAAUACAAGGGGAGGUUUUGAUCUUUAUUUUGGAAGAAGAUUGCUAAGAAAGGUUGGUUUAUGUUUCUCUUGUCAAUUUUUGUUCAUUCUAGCACAAUUUAGCCACAUUUUGGAUUUAGUGUUUCACCAUGUGAGAGAGAAGAGUAUAGCUAGGUUAUAUUCUCUAUUUUCUCAAAUGAGAUGAUUAACACGGUUAGAUUUUGUCUAUCCUCUCUCCUUUUUAAUGAAUGGUGCAUGUGUUGUAUGGAGAGAGAGGAAGAUAGGUUUGGUAAUUAAUAUUGUUUUUAUUAGUUGCUAUGAAAGGUUGGUUUAAUUAUGUUUCAAUUGCCAAUUAUUGUUCAUUUUUGCUCAAUUUUAGCUACAUUUUGGAACUAGGCUUUCACCAUGUGUGUUAGAGAUAGGUAUAGGUAUUAAGAACUGCUCUCUUGCCAAUUUUUGUUCAUUUUUCCAGAAUUUUAGCCACAUUUUGGAUCUAGAGUUUCACCAUAUGUUUGAGAUAAAAGAGUUAGGUUGCCUAAUCCAACCUCCUAUGACCUUCGUUGUAUAAAUACCCCUUCAUCCUUUCUGAUAGGAACUGUGUAGCUCACACGCAGCCCAACUUCCAGUGGUGGGCCAGAUUUCACAACAUACAAGGGUUGCUAAGAAAGGUUGAUUUAUAUUUCUUUUGCCAUUUUUUGUUUAUACAUGAUAUAUUUAGUUGUUAAAAGGUUUAUGUUUCUCUUGCCAAUUUGUGUUCUUGUAUUAUGUUUAUGUUACUUUUUUAUAGGUGAUGAUGGAAAGACAAGCGUGGAUGUAUAACUUAUAAAGGCUAGAUCCAUCAUAUAUAUAUCCGAGGUCCAUAGGUUUAUUGAUGUCGCUGCGAACCAUGCUUGGAGAACAAAGACAAAACACAUAUAUUGUCCAUGCAUGGACUGCAAAAAUGAUAUUGUAUUCGAUGACAUAGAACAAAUCAUAUCUCACCUAGUAUGCCAAGGAUUUGUGAAGGAUUACAUUAUUUGGACAAAGCGUGGAAAGGAUAGCUCUUCGCCUUAUACAACUAGAAACCCCGAGAACAUCGAUGACGUAUUUCAGUUCGUUCAUGAGACACCAAAAUUUUCUACAGAGCGAACAUGUAGUGCCAAAAUAACCGCCAGUGACAAUAGCAUUUCUACUGGCGGUUCCAAAAUAACCAUCAAUGGAAAUGCUGGCAUUUCCACUGGCCCCUAGCACUGUAGGUACUGAAAAACGCCAGUGCAAAUAGCUCUAGGACCGCCUCUAUAGAGCUUCUGUGUACUAGUAGAAAAAACUAUAUUUUGGAAAACGGAGGGAGUAUAUCUUUUUAUUAUAUAUUAUUACAAUGUACAUGCAUUAAUUGUAACUAUAUAUAAGAACAAAGAUUACACUUUAUCUUAGCCAAAAGGCCUAAAAAGGUAUAAGUUGAAAAGGAGUCUGACCCUUUUUUUAUAGCUCGCUCGUCUUCCCUUCGCUAGCGGGGUGGUAAUAUGUGGGUGCGUAGUGCUAUAUGCGGCUUCUUGUCGUCUUGGUCUUAGGAGGUUUUCACAACCUAUCUAUAGGGUAACGACUCACUGGUAGAAGGAGAGAAAUAGAGCUACACGCUUCGCACGUGACGUAAGACAACAAUCAAAACUCGUGCUUUAUAUUUUUUUAUUAUACAUCACUGUUAAAGAUUUUUAGGCAAAGACUAGGGUUUAAAUCUACCUUUAUCCAAUCCAGUACCCUAUAUAUAUAUUAUAGAGGAACAUGCUCUCCUCUAUAUAUCUAUAUGAGGCUGAGACCAGCAAAGACUUGUAAAGGAUCAAGAACUCUAUUUUUAGGGGAGAUUUUUCUCUUAUAUUCCUCCAAUAACAUCCUCUAAAUAGUACUCUAAAUAUGGAGGACGUUUUUCCUCCCUCUCCCUCUCUCUCUCUCUCAAUAUAUAUAUAUAUAUAUAUAUAUAUAUAUAUAUAUAUAUAUAUAUAUAUAUAUAUAUAUAUAUAUAUAUAUAUAUAUAUAUAUAUAUAUAUACGGCGGUACUAAAAUGCACCCAUGUGUAUUUUAGUUUGUGGAUGCACAGAUCCCAAGACUCCCUGUCCGACCAGAGCACCUAACACCCCGAGCACGCCUCCCCAUAAGAGCACGCCCUCGGCCCUCCUGUACGCGCGCCUCCCUGCCCGCCGCCUCCCUAUCCCCGCGCCACCCUCUCCCCCGCCGCCGCCGAGCGCCACUCUGUCAGCACGCCUCCCUGUCCCCCGCCACCGUGCCUCCCUGACCAACCAACUCCUCCUUCCUCCGAUCCUCUAACCCUAGAUCCAUGGCCCCACCGUCGCUGUCGCACCUUGAAUCGCAUCGAUGCUCCUCCCCUAAAUCCUUGGAGAUUGUUGUGGCUGGAGGGGCUGAUCCGAUAUUGUCGUCUCCGAUUGCGACAGCGGGAGCGGGUGUACGCGGCGGAUCAGGUGAUCCCUUGCAUCACAAGACGUUGCUGACGCCACCGCCUUCAAUUCCACCUGGAUCGCUGGUCACUCCUGAUGCAGCCCAGCUGUUCCAUCCGGUAAGGAAAAAAAGAAGCAAAAUAUGUUGCUCCACCUGCGUUUGUUUAAUAUUGGUUGCAACUAAUGAUUGCAACUGCGUGGUUUGUUGAUUUUCUGUUGCGACGUUUGUUGCUUGUUGAUUGCAACUAGGGGUAUCCUCUAAUUGCAAACUUGAGUCUCUGUUUUUACUCCUUGAUUACCAUUGCAUGGUGUGUUGUUACUCCAGUUGCAACGUUUGUUGCUUGUUGAUUGCAACUAGGGGUAUCCGCUAAUUGCAAACUUGAGUCUCUGUUGUUGCUCCAGUUGCAACGUUUGUUUCUUGUUGAUUGCAACUAGGGGUGUCCUCUAAUUGCAAACUUGAGUCUCUGUUUUUACUCCUUGAUUACCAUUGCAUGGUGUGUUGUUGCUCUAGUUGCAACGUUUGUUGCUUGUUGAUUGCAACUAUGGGUAUCCGCUAAUUGCAAACUCAUGAUUGUGUGUUGUUCUGCAGGAUGCAAACAUACUUGAUGUGUUUGUUCCCAGGGUGCGGCAAACAUUUGAUACAAGGGAAGAAGCCUACCUCUUUUACCUUGACUAUGCAAAGUUGGCUGGUUUUAGUGUCAGGACAAAGAGGACUUGUAAAGAAACCAGACACUAGGUUUGCAACCGUGAGGGGUUUCUGAAGCCAGGUCAAGAGAAUGAGGAGCCUAUGACAAAUAAGACAUCGAUGAGAAUUGGUUGCCCUGCUUAUGUGAAGGUGAAGGAGGACAAUGUCGCAAUAUUUGGUAUUUUCAUCAUGUUGAGGAAGCACACAAUCACAAGCUUGAGCCCUCGCCAAGGAUGGUGAGAUAUAUGCAUGCUCAUAAGCAGAGGGAGGCAGCGUUGGAUGACCUGUUUGCAAUCAUGUCAAGGAGUGGUGUGCCAACACAGGCAGCAAUGAAUGUAAUGUCAGAAUUAUUUGGAGGCUGUCAAAACUGGCCGUUCAUAGAGAAAGAUGUCCAAAACAAGUAGGUCAUAAAAACACUGACAUCAUAUCGUGUGCGAUAUAUUGAGACCAACAAAUUUACUUGUUUUUUCUUUUAUGGAACAGGAAAGCUGAGCAAGCAAGGGAGGAGAGGGAUGGGGACAUGGAUAAACUGUUCCAAUUUUUCAGGGAGUGCAAAGAACACAAUGAAUACUUUUACUGGGAUGUGGAUUUUGACCCAAAAACAAAGGUGCUUCGGAGCAUUUUUUGGUGUCAUGCAAGUCAGCGUGCAGAAUACAAGGAUUUUGGGGAUGUAGUCACAUUUGACACAACACACAAGACUAACAGCAAGAAUAUGCCGUUGGCCAUGUUUGUGGGUUGCAGCAAUAAUUUGAAGAAUGUGUCCUUUGGCCAAGCACUUCUUCGGGAUGAAACAAUUGACACAUUCAGGUGGCUUUUUGAGACCUUUAAAAGUUGCAUGGGUGGUCAGCAGCCUUUUGUGAUUGUUACAGGUAUGAUUUGGGCAAAAACACUUAUGCUUUGGCUGCAAAAAAUGCUUGUCACAUAAUUACUGCUGUGUUGUUGUAAUUGUAUCUUUGAAGAUGAUUGCAACAUUUUAUACUGCUUGGUUGCAAACCUAUUGGGGUUUUUGCUGAUUUUUAUUUUUGACACACAGAUGAAGAUGCAGCAAUGAAGGAAGCGAUAAGGAUUGUGUCUAACAAGACACAACACCGAAAUUGUCGAUGGCACAUAACCAGGACAUGUGAUUACGAGAUCGAGGAGCUAUACAAAUUGCACAAGGAUAAAAAUCUAAAGGAGAAGCUGCAGUCCCUAAUAAACUAUCCUCUGGGGCCCACACAGUUUGAGGUGGAGUGGAAUAAGCUGGCGGAUGAAUGUGGCAUAAGAGAACACCCUGCAAUUGUUGCAUUGUGGCAGAAAAGGAAGAGAUGGAUAGCAACAUAUUUCAAAGGCAUGUACUAUGGGCGAAUGACUUCCACCCAGAGAUCUGAGAGCCAAAAUAGGGUUUUGAAAGAUGGUUAUGUUAACAAUGUGACAAGCCUGCAUAUAUUUGCAAAGAGGGUGCUUGACUCGAUUUAGCACACAGACCACAUGGAUGCUGGGGAGUCACACUACUCACAGGUAUUUGCCUACCCCCUGCAUUUUUUGGUCUGAUUGUAAAAAAUAUGUUAAACAAAAAUGAUUCCAACUGCUGGUGUGGUGUGAUUAAAACCCCGCAUUAGGUGUGAUUGCAACUGCUGUAUAAUUCUACCCAAAUAUCUGUUAAAAAAUGUAAACAAAAUGAUUGCAACAGCUGGUGUGUUGUAAUUGCAACUGCUGGUGUGGUGUGGAUGCAACUGCUGAGUUGCUCUGAUGUGAUUGCAAGUACGGAAUAACUCUGGGAAAUUUUGUUAAAAAAAUAUGAUUGCAACUGCUGGUCCGGUGUAAUUGCAACUGCUGGUCUGGUGUGAUUGCAACUUCUAUAUAACUAUGUCCAAAAAUCUGUUAAACAAACAAUGAUUGCAACUGUUGUCUGGUGUAAUUGCAACUGCUGGUCUGAUGUGAUUGCAACUUCUAUAUAACUAUGUCCAAAAAUCUGUUAAACAAACAAUGAUUGCAACUGCUGUCUGGUGUAAUUGCAACUGCUGGUCUAGUGUGAUUGCAACUUCUAUAUAACUGUCUAAAAAUCUGUUAAACAAAACAAUGAUCGCAACUGCUGGUCUUGGUGCAGACUGAAGUUGUCAGGGCCUGCAAAUCACGAUUUGAUGAGCAACUCAGCAGGGUGUACACCAGGGUUGUGUACAAUGAAUACAAGAGGGAAUAUAUUAACAGCACAACUUUUGUGAUAGAGACUGAUCCGGGAGUGGAAUGCGGUCACUUGGUGAAACAUGAGAAAGGCGAUGAGACAUUUUGCUGGGCACAAUACGCAUUCAAGGUGGUGGCUGACAAAGCAGCAGGCGUGUAUAAAUGCAAAUGCAUGCAGUGGGAGCAUAUAGGUGAGAUGAAUUGCAACCUCGUUACAUUAAAAAAAUUACACAUUGAUGUUCCUGCAUAUUUACGUCCAAAUUGCAAAAAAAAUGCAGGUCUAUUCUGCAUGCACAUAAUAAAGGCAUUCACUCACCUCCAAGUCCAAACAUACCUGAAAAGUACAUUCUGGAGCGAUAUACACGUAAUGCAAGAUCUGUGGUUCUGUGGGACCGACACGAUGUGAGUGUUGGUGGUCAGAAUGAGACAGAGCAGUCGAGGUUGUCGAAACUGCUGCCAAAGUUAAUGCACCUGGGAAGAGCGGGAAGCAAAUCUGAUAGACCAUACACUGAAACUAUCAGGCACAUCGACAUGAUAACUCCUGGGAUUGAGCUUCUACGAACAGCGGAGAUUGGUCCGGAUGAAGCAACAAAUACUGAGUUGCAGCAAGAUGCAGAUGGACGGCAGAAUAUUGGUCCCAUUGCACCAACACAACAAAGUUCUGAAAACAAUAUGGAACCUGUUGUGAUGUCCACUGGUCCUACACCACCACCAGAAUCGGGCCUCAAUCCAGGUUCUGCAAACUUCCUCGCUGAUCUAACAUUGACUAAAACGCCAGUGUCGCGCACGAAGGGUAGGAAGUCUGCCAGUGGGGCUAAAUGUGCUAAAAAUAGUGUGGAACCUGCUAAUCCAUACAGCACAUACAGUGGGGGUCAGGGCAUAAGAGAGUGCCAAACCUGCCAUGUUAGGGGGCACUAUAGCACAACAUCCCCUCAGAACCCAAACAGAAGCAGAGCGGCCGAGAAGAAGGACAAAAAGAGAAGUGCCAAAACUGUAGGUUGGAGUCCAAGAAAAAGAGGUCGCCCAACAAUAAAAAAGGACUAGAUGGAAAUCAAUACGAGACGCAGAGUGAGGGGGAUGAGACACAGCAAUCUGGGUGCACUAUGGCCGUGGAGGAGUCAGCAACACACGCGGUGAUUGCAAGAAUUAGGAGGGCGACAACUUGCCAUGUUAAUUACCAGGACAAAAGUGAUUCUGAAUGACUAUGAAUCUGACUGAAUCUCCAAUGUAAUAUUUCAAUUUUAUCUUAUUUUAUAAUUCUGUGUAAGUUAAACUCAAUAAUGACUGUGUGACUGUUCUGAAAACACUAGACACACAUGACCAACCAAUUGCAACAUCAUAGUUGCGAUGGUUGCAACUGUAUGUAUACACAGGAUAAUAGAUGAAUAUGUGUUAUCUGUUUACGUCUAGACAUAUAAUUAAAAUCUAUCUUGUUUUAUUAUCAUAUAACAGUUGCUACUACUCAUAUACAUGUUUGCAAAGUUUUCCAUCAUGCUGGUUACACACAUAGAAAUAAAAGGAGAGUGGUGAUGGUCAGUUGCAACUACGAUUACAAUUUCAGUUGCAACUGUAACAUAUACGAUGGUUGCAACUGCGAGCGGGCCCCGCCUCGUCCGGGUGGCUCCUGCCUCACCUGGGAGGGCUCCACCUCACCGGUGGGUACAGAACACCAACAUAUACACUGGUUGCAACUGCAAACCAUACACUGUUUGCAACUACGAUUAUAAUCCAGUUGGAACUCUAAAACAUAUACUCGUUGCAACUGCAAUGACUGGGAUUUUUCAAACAAUAUUGGAAACUGCAGUUUAGAGUACGAUAACAAAUAGAUGAAUAGACCAGUUGCAAAUGGAACCAGUGCGCUGGUUGCAACCUAAACAACAUUACUGGAGUGUGCUUCCAACAAUACUGGUAUACAGAACCAAAACACAACAUUAAAUGUUUCUGGCUACUGCAUAACACAACUGAUUGUUUUUGCAUGAAUCUAAUUGUUUGACUGACUACUAUCCCAUUCAAUUGGCACCGGACGACCACCAAUUCUAAACUUAUCCAGCGAUCCAGGAAUUUCAGCUUGGUUCAUAGGUUGAAAGAUCUGGUAAUGCAACAACUCACAUCUGUAUAUCGGGCCCUUGAACUGCAAUGGCAUAAAAACAUAAUAGUCACUGACUAUAUUAUGAUGCACACAUAGAAAACACGCAAAAAAAGCACCAAAACAGAUAGAAAAUCAGUUGACAGCAUGGCUCACCGGAUUGAUUUCCUUGGUCAUUUUGUCUCUGUCGUAAUAUUCCAUGUACUUCCAUACAAAAAAAGACAAUCACUUUGACCUGCUUGCUUUGGCACAUCAAUAAAAGGCCGCCUCCACUUGCUAACUUUGGGUAACUUGAGGUUGGAAACUUUCUGGAAGGCUGCAUCGAUGAUUGGGAUUUUGGCAAAGACAGCCUUGUGUCGUUCUUCCUGAUUAGAACAAUUUAGGAAGUAGUCGUUCGACUCCAGCACAUCAAUACGCAUAUGGAUAAAAUUGAAGCAAUAUACAAAAUAGUGAGCACCAUCUUUGAUAGGGACAAAAACCUGGUGCAAAGAAGGAGUAGAAAACUAAUUACAAAAAAUGGAAAACAUAUAUGAAAAAAGAAGUUGCAAGAAAAAAGUAUAGACAGUUGCAAAGUAUGUGUACUGGUGAUUGCAACUGCUGAUGAUGGAAAGUUAAAAAUUAUAUGUAUGAAAAAGUGGGUUCGAAAAACAUAGUGGGUUGGGGAAAAGGUAUGCUAACCAAUUUUGCUCUUGACAAAUCAUAGUUUUCGCACUCAGACAUCAGAUGAUUCCAUACAUGUAUGAAGUCUUGUGUCUCAGAUUUAUCAGCGUUGAGUACGGCUUCACACGUUGAGACAUUGAACUGUAUGUGUUUUCCAGUUUGGAGAAUAAAGAAAAAAGAGAAAUGAUUAAUGAUUAAAUUAGUUUAAACACAUAAAAGCAAGACAAUAUACAAAAAAUACAUGGUUUUGGAGAAGAAACUUACAUAAAAACCAGUGGUCAGAAACACUUUGUAUCCACAAGAAUCGACCUUGUGCACAAUAUCAUCAUGUCGCAUGCAGUGCACAAAAAAGUCUAUGAUUCCUGACUCACCAAGGGUGUCAUUAGAAAAAGAGGUUAAAAUUUCCUCGCCAGUGAGUCCAACAAGAAGGCCAAACUCCAACAAAAUUCUCCUGCAGCAACAAAAAAAAAGAAAAUGGAUGGAUUAGUGAGAAGAACAAGAGGAUGUGUAACUGCUGGUGUGCUGUGAUUGCAACUGCUGGUCUAGUGUGAUUGCAAAGUACUGAAUAACUCUGGGAAAUUCUGUUAAACAAAUAUGAUUGCAAACUACUGGUGUAGUAUAAUUGCAACUGGUGUGUUGUGAUUGCAAGUACUAUAUAACUCUGGAAAAUUCUGUUAAACAAAAAUGAUUGCAACUUCUGGUAUGGUGUGAUUGCAACCACACAUUAGGUGAGAUUGCUACUGCUAUAUAUAAGUAACUAACUGUUCAAGAAAAAUGAUUGCAACUUGGUUCGAAUUGCAAAAUAAAAAGUAAAUAGCAGUUGCAACUUGGGAAAACAAAAAAAACCUUUUCAGCUCAGGAUCAGAGGCGAUCUUCCGCUUAAGUGCAACAGCAUUGGCCAGGGGUAUCUCAGGUCGAUUACGAGGGAUCUUCAACGGGGAUAUGUACUCCCUAGGCUUCUUCAGCACUCUAUCACCUAGGCGUUUGAAUAUGAUCCUUUGAAACUCGCUGAAAUCAGCCUGGCCUACUAUGACUUCGUCUUGAGAAAGUCAGAUUGGUUGGGUCAAAUUGUUUAUAUGAUCAUCGAACUCCGCAGGGAACUGGGUGCUCCUGGCGCGUAGGUUCGGCCUGGGUGCAUUCUCUAUAUUGAAUGCACCUAGGUGUAAUAUAUAAAUACAGUAUAUAUAUACAUUCUUUUACCCUAACUUGAUCUAUAAAAGGGAGAGGGCUGCCCUCAGAGGAGGGCCCCCGAGAGAGAAAAACCAUACGAGAAGACAAGGAACCACUAGCAAGAUAAGGAUAGCCUUUAGACCAAAAACACAUAGAGACAUAGGAUUUUUCCCUCUCUCGCUACAGGAAUCCAGUUAAUUCCAGUCGGCUAAAAACCGACGGGAAUAACUAAUUCCCGUCGGUAACUAGCUAACUCUCGUCGGCCUCAAGCGAUGGCUGUCAGGUGUCAGGGAUAAACUUAUUCCUGUCGGCAGCUGACGGGAAUAAGUAUCCCCGUCGGCUAGUACGUGGCCGACGGGGAUAAGCCUUAACUCCCGUCGGCUACGUGGGCCGACGGGGAUAAGCAUUAACUCCCGUCGGCCACGUGGGCUGACGGGGAUAAGCCUUAACUCCCAUCGGCUACGUGGGCCGACGGGGAUCAGUCUUAACUCCCGUCGGCCUGGGCCAACCGACGGGAAUUAACUGGGCCGACGUGGAUUAUUUGUUAAUCCCCGUCGAUUUUUGACCAUAGCCGACAGGAAUUAACUGGGCCGACGGGAAUUAACCUAUAAUGCUGCAAAAGCAGCAACAAACUAGGUCACUAUUUCUCCACAAUUGCACACAAAACAUAUAUAUCAUCACAUAGAACAUACACAUCACAAACACAUGCACACAAACAUAUAUAUCAUCACACAGAACAUACACAUCACAAACACAUGCAUUGAUAUGAUUCACACAUCACAAACAUAAGAUCAAGUGUUUACACAAACAUUUCAAAUACGAGUUAAGAUUAAGUGUUUACACAACAUAACGUCCACGAGUUAAGAAACAUAGCGUGCAAACAUAGCGUGCACGAGUUCUAGUGUUUAGAGAUAACCACCACUUGGGUGGUUAGAGCUUUGACCGCUGCCGCCACCAGGAGGAGGGAACGCGAAGAGGGAGUCAACAAAUCCAGUCCCUGCUGUGGGAUCAGACCCACUACCACCCGCUUCGGGCGUAACCUAUGCAAGUUAGCAAAUAUCAACAUUUUUAAUACAAAUAUCAAAAAGUAUACAAGUGUAUAAAUUAAUCGAGAGUUAUCAAACGUACCCUAUCUCCAGGUGCAGGUAUAUGUGUCGGAGGGGUGUUGAACUGUGGUGGCGGAGCUGGUGUGUUUGCAAACUAGCUCCAUUGUGGUGGCGGUGGAAUAUUUGUUGUCAUGCCCUGUUGCUGCAUUAACUGUUAAACAUAUGUGUUACUAUUGAAGAUGUUGUAUUGAAAUAUAAUAAUUUAGAGUUCGGAUUAUGUAUACUCACUUGAUACAUCGCUUGGGUAUGUGCAUUGCAAGCCUCCAUAAAUUCGCGUUGUUGUCUCAUCUCUUCACGCAUCCACAUAAUCUCCAACUCCUGCUCGUUCGGUCUACGAGAGCAUGAGCUACGAGAAGAUGAACCCGUCCUCUGAGAUCUCACCGACGACGAGUCAAUGAAUCCGUCGAAGAGUGUGUAUCUAUAAGUGAUUCAAAAAUUGUGAUUACUGCAUAAUAAAUUUAGUGUCAACCAUAUAAUUUCAUAUAAGUUAGAGCUUACUGUCCAUGCGCUUUUCCACCACCACUUGCGUACACCACUGAGGGAUCCACCGGUUCAUGUCGCCAGUCGAAGUCAGGGCCAUGGCGACGAACCAUCUCCUCCCCAUAUGCCGCCUAUACAUCAUUCACAACCUUACAAAUGCAGGAAUUUCUAUACUUUGAACGUUUGUACUUUUGGGCCAAAACUCAUCAGCCGAUCUGUGGCUGUCUGGCUGCAGAGCUGGUCAGGGUUGUUAGGGUCUGGUCCUUUUUGGCCCUCCUGGUUGACCUCAAUGUCACUAGGCUUUUGGCCACUUGUAGCUUCCUGUAUAAACAAAAAACAUUUAUAAGCAAUCGUACUAUUUGAGUGGCAGCCAUAGGAUGACUUGAUUUGAAAAUGCUUGAACGAAAGCGAUAUCCAUUGCCUCUGUUUUCUCUAAGCACUUGGGUUGGACGAUCACAUAUCACUGCUAAGUCCAAGCGUGCCUUGUCAUUAUCUUUCGUUUUAUCAGGGAAAUCCAUGCAUGUAUUUAUGAGGGCUUGGCAAAAGUUACUCUCUUGAUGCAUGACGUCGAUGUUGUGCAUCAAAAUCAAUGACUUAGCAUAAGGAAGCUCCCACAAGCCACAUAUGUGAGUCCAGUUAUGCUCCUCACCAAAACCUUGAUACCUUUUCCCACUCUCGUCUAGGACAAGUUUCCUAUGCUCUUCUAUAAUUUCUAUCCCACUACGUCGCCUGGGCGGUCCCUUCGUGAUGAUGGUGCCCUUCCUAAAUUCCUUUCUCUGCCUUCUGAAGGGGUGAUUGAAGGGUAGAAAACAUCUACGACAAUCAAAGUAACAUAUCUUGCCACCAGCAAUAAGACGAAAACAAUCUGUAUCUUUCGCACAAUAAGGACACGUCAAUCUACCAUGCACGCUCCAUCCAGAGAAAAUACCAUACGCCAUAAAAUUAUGAACCGAGAACAGAUAUGCAACACGAAGAUUGAAUUUCUGCUUCUUGAAGCAGUCAUAGGCUUCCACACCUUGCCAUAGCUUCUUUAACUCUUCAAUCAGUGGUUGAAGCAUCACAUUGAGGCGUACGCCAGGAUGCUCAGGCCUAGGUAUAACAAGACAUAGGAACAUAAACUCAUAUUUCAUGCAAAGAGCAGGUGGAAGGUUGUACGGUAUGGCAAUGACAGGCCAACAUGAAUAUGACGCAGCGAUCAUAUUGAACGGCGUGAAACCAUCAGUUGCUAAGUCGAUAUGAACGUUUCUUGCAUCACUGUCAAAAUCUGGAUCAAACUUGUCAAGAGCCUUCCAUGCAUCACCAUCUGACGGGUGCCCCAUUAACCCAUCCUUUCCGUCCGUACAAUCUUUAUGCCACCUCAUGUGCAUAGCGGUCUUCCUCGAGAGAAACAAACGUUUCACUCUAGGAGUGAGAGGCAUGUACCAAAGCUUUUUAUGUGCAACCUUUGUCACCACCUUCUCCCCAUCUUCAUUUACAAGCUCCACGUACCUCGACUUCCCACAUUUUAAGCAUUUAUGCUCUGUGCCAUGUUCCUUCCAAAAAAGCAUACAGUUGUCCUAGCAAACAUCAAUCUUCUCAUACUCCAUACCAAGACCUUGAAGCAAUUUAUUGGACUGGUACAUGUCUUUAGGCAUCUUGUGACCCGUAGGAAGAACCUCGCUAAUCAAAUCCACGAGCUCCUUGUAACAAUUAAUUGAGAAUGCAAACUUGGACUCAAUUGACAUCAGCCGGGUCACGAAUUCGAGGACGAUCACGUCAGUGUGCCCGUGAAGAGGCUCUUCUGACACUUUGAGGAGUUCGAAGAACUUCUGAACCUCCGGUGUAGGUGAAUCAUGAUGAUCUGGGGCCAGUUCAGGCUGCAAAUCCUUAAGCAUCUGGUCCAUCCUAUCCACAUCUUCACCGUCAUCAACUUCUACUUCUGUUGCUCGUUCAAGGCGUGACUCCUCGUGGAGAUACUAGACCUUAUAGCCUGGCACAAAAUCAUGCGAGCACUGGUGUAGUGUGACCUGCCUCUUGGUGUGGCUCGUCAUAUUUUGACAUUUAUUGCAUGGACACCUAAUAUUAUCUAUUUGUGACAAAGCAGCUGCAUGGUCCAGAAACAUCCGUGUCUUGGCAAACCAUUCAUUUGUGUGACACCCACCCUUCUUGAAACCUUCAUACAUCCAAUCCCCUACAAGAAAACACUUAAUUCCCGUCGGCCAAGAACCGACGGGAAUAAGCAUUAAACCGACGAGAAUAAGUAAUUCCCGUAGGUUUAGGGCUUAUUCCCGUCGGUUGUCAGCCGCCAGGCGUCCCUUGUCGGGGAUAAGGUUAUUCCCGUCGGCCGCUGACGGGAAUAAUUAAUCCCCGUCGGCCAAUAACGAGCCGACGGGAAUUACGGCUAAAUCCCGUCGGCUAUCACAACCGACGGGAGUUAUUAAUUAAUCCUCGUCGGUCAGGUCAGCCGACGGGAAUUAACUAUUAACUCCCGUCGGCCAGGUUAGCCGACGGGAAUUAACUGGGCCGACGGGAGUUUAUAGUUAAUUCCCGUCGGCUAUGGUCAAACCGAAGGGAAUUAACUGGGCUGACAGGAUGUCGGUGUUUUGGGUCCGACCGCACACCCGAGGUUGCCCCUUAAGAUGUUUUUAGGAGUAGGACGGUGUCGACGACUGUAGCAAAAUGGUUCGUGCUGAUCGCACGAGGGACAAUGGACAAGGUUUGCAGGUUCGGGCCGCUUAGAGAUGCGUAACACCCUACGUCCUGAUGAGUAUUCGAGUGUGGUUACAAGAGGACUCUCUGGGUGGAAGGCACAGAGAGUUUACGUGGGUGGCUAAGCAAAGUAGGGUCGAUCGUUCUGAAGGGGUGCCCCCUAGGCCUUAUAUACUCGACCGUGGGGCAGUACAUGUGGAUAUGAUAACAACAAGUAGCUAAAAGAUAGUGAACCUCCUGAGUUUAUCCCUACGUAACCCUCGCCGACUUAUCCUCGCAUGGCUCCGUUGCAUGGGGGUUUCAGCGCGGGAAAGUUGGGUCUCUGUUGCGAUUUAUUCGUUCGACGUUGUGGGCCGUCCGGGUUUGCACCAAUCCGGUCUCACGUCUUCUCUUCUUUAUUGGUUGUCUUUCCCCAGGCCCACGAAAGAAUGACCUUACGAAUUAUUGGGCCCUUGGGCCUUUCGUGAGGCUUUUUACUUCUUUAGUGGACCCAGGGGAUAUCUAUCCCCCACAAGCCCCCGAUCUUUGGGUUGAUUUAGAGGUAAUCAACUCAAAGAUCCAAGGUCCAAAAAAUAACUUCCUGCUGUCUUCUCUUGCUCCGAUCACUCGUUCGACCAAAGUUUAGUUUUGUGCUUGUGCCUUAGAGGUCGGCAUUUUGAAUUGUAGGAUUCUGGACUUCAUUGGGUGCACCAGAGGUGCACCCAAUGGGUGUAGCCCCCGACCUUUGAGUAGAUUUUAGAAGAUAAUCUACUCGAAGGUCUUCCCCAAAGAUUAUCUCCAUUCGCGCUCCUGCAUCUCGGUUGAGGAUUGGUCUUUUCAAUCUUGUCCCACGUCUUAGAAGUCGGCACUAUAUUGGUUUAGAAUGAUAAUCCAUGGGGUGCACCGAAGGUGCACCCAAUGGGUGUAGCCCCCGACCUUCAAAUGGAUUUUUUAAGGAUAAUCCGUUCGAAUGUCUUCUUUUUGCUUGUAAAAGUUGGCAUGAAGCUAUUCGCAUUAUGCUUUGGAAGUCAGCAUUAUGUCAUCCGGAUUUUGCUGCCGAGGUCAGCAUAUAUUUUGUCUCUGGCAGCCGAGUUUGCAAUCCAUCCGUAUCUUGCAAUUUAUUUGCUUCUGCGACUUGAUUGGACGUUUGAUGGACGUUCUCUGUCUAGUCCUCACAUCGCUUCUGUCGACCAUCUCUUGUACUUUGCUGGCUAUAUUUGGCCUUCCUCUGAUCCUUACUGAUAUCUCAUUUUCGUCUUGAAGUAUUUUACUGCGCGCCCUGCACGGAUGUGACCGUUUUGAAAAAUAUACUGAUAAUUCCUGGGCGUCCCCCCCCAAUGGGUGUGGGCAGGGGACGACUUGGUACGCUGAGUGUUUUAGCUGGCUGCUUCUGAGUAGUAAUGUGAUGGGACGGCUAGUGUAAUCAUAUCCUUUGCGCUGUUGACUGGAGUCCCAAUGGGUGUGGUGCUGCAUGAAACGGCGUCCGCCGUCUGACGUGUCUUCAGAUGGGUGGGAGUGCUUAUUGAAUGCUUUGCGACUGUUCAGUGACCGCGGUUGGAAGUGAGCGGUUGCCUUUCCCUUCUAUAAAUAACGCCUUUGCUUCUCUGGUUUUUUCACAUCUCUUCGCUGUUAUUUACUGCCUUCUUCUCCUCCCUUCUGUCUGCUUCCACCAUGGGCAAGGGUACCAAGCGCAAGCGCGAGCCGACUCCUCCGUCGGAUGAUUUCGGUGACUCGGAAUACUCGGAGGAGGAGUUCUCCUCCGACUCCGAGGGAUCUCCGGCUCCCGUCUCUCCCCCGGCGUCGUCUGAUGAUUCAGACGACUCCCAGGGGAUUGCCGCGGAGGUCUGGACGUACAUCCGGGCCGUCGAGCGCUCUGGGCUCGAGGGCUCGGAUGAGUCGGAGUUCUCCUCGGAAGAGGAGGACUCGGACGGCGACGAGGGGGAGGAUGACGACGACGACGAAUACGACGACGGCGGCGAUGGCGGCGGCAGUGGCGGUGGCAGCGGCGGCGGCGAGGUGAGCAAGGGCGGCACCAAGGGCGGCAGCAGCGUGGGCAGCACCGGAGGCGGCGGCAGCAAAGGCGGCACCAGGGGCGGCGGCGGUGGUAGCAGCAGCAAGGCCAGUGGCUAAACGCCACUGGUCUUUAGAUAUUAGUAUAGUUAGAAUAAUGUAGUAGUAAUGUAGAGUAGUAUAGUGUAGUUUAGUAGUAGUAGUAGUGUAGAGUAGAAGUAGGGAAGCACCAACUCGCGAAGAGUUGGUUUGUAAACUUAUUAACUUCCCCUUAAUGAAGAACUGUCGUUGGCCCCAUCUCGAUGAUUCGCUUUCUCUGAUUGUUGAACUGGUUCUUUUGAUAUAGUAGAUGAAUAACUUGCGCAUCACAUUGACGCUUCCAGAAGUAGCUGUCGAGUAAUAUUGUAGUCGGUAUCGGCGUUUUAGAAGCAAGCUUUUAUUGUCUCUUAUUGUCUCUAUUUUCAAAAGUUGGCUUCUUGUGGGAAGAAGUGUUGAUUAUGGGAAAAAGGGGGAGUUUUUGAAAUCCGUGGUCAAAUUCUUUUGAAAUGACUCUCUUUAUGCUUCAAUAUGUGUGUUUGACUUAUAGAUAGAGAUUUGAGUUUGAUUUGCAAAAACAAACCAAGUGGUGGCAAAGGAUGAUCCAUAUAUGCCAAAAUUGAAUCAAAACCAAUUUGAGUUUUUAUUUGAAGUGAUUUUGCACUUGUUCCACUUGCUUUAUGUUGUGUUGGCAUAAAUCACCAAAAAGGGGGAGAUUGAAAGGGAAAUGUGCCCUUGGGCCAUUUCUAAGUAUUUUGGUGAUUGAGUGCAAACACAAGGGCCUAAAUGUGAAUUUAUGUACAUGGAUGAACAAGGUGAAAAUCAUGAAGUAAAGGUAUGUUUCUAAGCCUUAGUACAUUGGUUUUAAGUACUAAUAUAUUUGUCUAAGUGUUAGAAACAGAAAGAAGAAGAAUAGAGAAAAGGAGAAGGGACUUGGCUGUGUGCUGCCAAGACCCAGCUCGGUCUGGAGCACCGGACUGUCCGGUGUGCACCGGACAGUGUCCGGUGCGCCAGGCUGGCGCGACUCGAAGAGGCCGCUCUCGGGUUUUUCUCCGGCGACUUCGGCUAAAAUUCACCGGACUGUCCGGUGUGCACCGGACUGUCCGGUGAGCCAACGGUCGGCCAGGGCCAACGGUCGGAAGACGGCACCGGACUGUCCGGUGUGCACCGGACAUGUCCGGUGCGCCAACAGAGCCAGAUCUGCCAACGGUCUGCAACGGUCGUCUUCGCCGUUUAAGGAAACAAAUCGGGCACCGGACAGUGUCCGGUGUGCACCGGACUGUCCGGUGCCCCCGACGACAGAAGGCAAAGAUGGCCUUCCGGAUUUGCUCUCAACGGCUCCUAGCUGCCUUGAGGCUAUAAAAGGAGCCCCUAGGCGCAUGGAGGAGAUACACAAGCAACCUUUGAGCAUUCUUGAUCAUCCACACUAAGUCUCUGCGCAUUCGUUUGUGUUUCUAAGUGAUUCGAGCUCUGUUCUAAGUGAGAACUCUGAGAUAGUCUUGUGAGCUCGAUUCUUGGCCGUGUGUGUGCGCUUUUGCUGUGGAUUUGUGUGUGUUGCUUCCCUCCCUUACUCUGUGUUUCAUUUGUGAUCAUAUACUUGUAAGGGCAAGAGACUCCAAUUUGUGGAGAUUCCUUGCAAACGGGAUAGUGAAAGGAAAACAAAACACCGUGGUAUUCAAGUGGGUCUUUGGACCGCUUGAGAGGGGUUGAUUGCAACCCUCGUCCGUUGGGACGCCACAACGUGGAGUAGGCAAGCGUUGGUCUUGGCCGAACCACGGGAUAAAACCACUGUGUUACUCUGUGCUUGAUUCUCUUGUUGUACUGUGUUUUGUUGAGAUUGUUGAGACUUCACCUUAGCCACUUGGCAAUAAUCGUGCUAACACUUAACAAGUUUUUUGUGGCUUAACAAAAGAAUUUGACCACGGAUUUCAAAAACUCCCCCUUUUUCCCAUAAUCAACACUUCUUCCCACAAGAAGCCAACUUUUGAAAAUAGAGACAAUAAGAGACAAUAAAAGCUUUUGACAAAACAAAAACUCUAUUCUACUAUUUUCAAAAUCUCUCAAGUGGUAGCUGAUCCAUUUAUCGCUUUGGCCUUUAUUUUCUCCCCCUUUGGCAUCAAGCACCAAAACGGGAUCAAUCUUGGCCUUUUAACCCCAUUGCCUCACCAAAGUCUUCAAUUAAGAGCAAAUGGCAAUAAGAUUUCAUGAGAUGAACUUGGAAUUAGUUACCCUCUCAUCGGAGUGCAGUGGAAGUCUCUCAUGGUCCAAGUCCACCUUUUCCCUUUCAAUCCUCCUUCGAGACUAAAUCAAGCAAACUCAAGCAAAUGGUUAGUCUCAAAGGGUCAAGUUGUAACAUAUCUCCCCCUAAACAUGUGCAUCACUUUGCAACGGACUUGUGAGGUCCAGGGAGUGUUGGUACAACUUGAGCACCACAAUAAGCAACAAAAUGCAGAAUGAACCUGAUCAAAUGCAUAAACACAUGUAUGCUAUAAUUCAAUCCAAGUUCCGCGAAUCUAAGACAUUUAGCUCACUACGCAGCCUGCAAAAGGUCUUCUCAUCUAGAGGCUUGGUAAAGAUAUCGGCUAGCUGGUUCUCGGUGCUAACAUGAAACACUUCGAUAUCUCCCUUUUGCUGGUGGUCUCUCAAAAAGUGAUGCCGGAUGUCUAUGUGCUUUGUGCGGCUGUGCUCAACAGGAUUCUCCGCCAUGCGGAUAGCACUCUCAUUGUCACAUAGGAGUGGGACUUUGCUCAGAUUGUAGCCAAAGUCCCGGAGGGUUUGCCUCAUCCAAAGUAGUUGCGCGCAACACUGUCCUGCGGCAACAUACUCGGCCUCAGCGGUGGAUAGGGCAACGGAUGUUUGUUUCUUAGAGUUCCAUGACACCAGGGACCUUCCUAAGAAUUGGCACGUCCCCGAUGUACUCUUCCUAUCGACCUUACAUCCAGCAUAGUCGGAGUCUGAGUAUCCAACUAAGUCAAAGGUAGACCCCUUUGGAUACCAGAGCCCGAAGCAAGGCGUAGCAACCAAAUAUCUAAGAAUUCGCUUCACCGCCACUAAGUGACACUCCUUAGGAUCGGAUUGAAAUCUAGCACACAUGCAUACGCUAAGCAUAAUAUCCGGUCUACUAGCACAUAAGUAAAGCAAAGAACCUAUCAUUGACCGGUAUGCUUUUUGAUCAACGGACUUACCUCCUUUGUUGAGGUCGGUGUGUCCGUCGGUCCCCAUCGGAGUCUUUGCGGGCUUGGCGUCCUUCAUCCCAAACCGCUUUAGCAGAUCUUGCGUGUACUUCGUUUGGGAGAUGAAGGUGCCGUCCUUGAGUUGCUUCACUUGGAACCCAAGGAAGUAGUUCAACUCGCCCAUCAUCGACAUCUCGAAUUUCUGCGUCAUCACCCUGCUAAACUCUUCACAAGACUUUUGGUUAGUAGAACCAAAUAUUAUGUCAUCGACAUAAAUUUGGCACACAAACAAAUCACCAUUACAAGUCUUAGUAAAAAGAGUUGGAUCGGCUUUCCCAACCUUGAAAGCAUUAGCAAUUAAGAAAUCUCUAAGGCAUUCAUACCAUGCUCUUGGGGCUUGCUUAAGUCCAUAGAGCGCCUUAGAGAGCUUACACACAUGGUCGGGGUACCGUUCAUCCUCGAAGCCAGGGGGUUGCUCCACGUACACCUCCUCCUUGAUUGGCCCGUUGAGGAAGGCGCUCUUCACAUCCAUUUGAAACAACCUGAAAGAAUGGUGAGCGGCAUAUGCUAGCAAGAUACGAAUUGAUUCUAGCCUAGCCACAGGAGCAAAAGUCUCCUCGAAAUCCAAACCUGCGACUUGGGCAUAACCUUUUGCCACAAGUCGAGCCUUGUUCCUCGUCACCACCCCGUGCUCGUCCUGUUUGUUGCGGAACACCCACUUGGUUCCCACAACAUUUUGCUUCGGACGAGGCACCAGUGUCCAAACUUCAUUGCGCUUGAAGUUGUUUAACUCCUCUUGCAUGGCCAACACCCAGUCCGGAUCUAGCAAGGCCUCUUCUACCCUGAAAGGCUCAAUAGAGGAGACAAAGGAGUAAUGCUCACAAAAAUUAACUAAUCGAGAUCGAGUAGUUACUCCCUUGCUGAUGUCACCCAGAAUUUGGUCGACGGGAUGAUCCCUUUGAAUCAUCGCUCGAACUUGAGUUGGAGGUGCCGGUUGCGCUUCUUCCUCUAUCACUUGAUCAUCUUGUGCUCCCCCUUGAUCACACGCCUCCUUAUGAUGAACCUGUUCAUCAUCUUGAGUCGGGGGAUGCAUCAUAAUUGAGGAAGAGGGUUGAUCUUGCUCAUCUUGUUCCUGUGGCCGCACUUCUCCAAUCGCCAUGGUUCGUAUAGCGGCCGUCGGAACAUCUUCUUCAUCUACAUCAUCACAAUCAACAACUUGCUCUCUUGGAGAGCCAUUAGUCUCAUCAAAUACAACGUCGCUAGAGACUUCAACCAAACCCGAUGAUUUGUUGAAGACUCUAUACGCCUUUGUAUUUGAGUCAUAACCUAACAAAAACCCUUCUACAGCUUUGGGAGAAAACUUAGAAUUUCUACCCUUCUUCACUAGAAUGUAGCAUUUACUCCCAAAUACACGAAAGUACGAUACAUUGGGUUUGUUACCGGUUAGAAGCUCAUACGACGUCUUCUUGAGGAGGCGAUGAAGGUAGACCCUGUUGAUGGCGUGGCAAGCAGUGUUCACGGCUUCCGUCCAAAAGCACUCGGGGGUCUUGAACUCUCCUAGCAUCGUCCUCGCCAUGUCAAUGAGCGUCCUGUUCUUCCUCUCUACCACACCAUUUUGCUGUGGUGUGUAGGGAGCGGAGAACUCGUGCUUGAUCCCUUCCUCUUCAAGGAACUCCUCCACUUGAGAGUUCUUGAACUCGGACCCGUUGUCGCUUCUUAUCUUUUUCACUUUGAGCUCAAACUCAUUUUGAGCUCUCCUGAGGAAGCGUUUGAGGGUCCCUUGGGUUUCAGACUUAUCCUGCAAAAAGAACACCCAAGUGAAGCGGGAAAAAUCAUCAACAAUAACUAAACCAUACUUACUUCCCCCUAUGCUUAGAUAGGCGACGGGUCCGAAGAGGUCCAUAUGCAGUAGCUCCAGGGGUCUUGACGUGGUCAUCACAUUCUUGCUGUGAUGCGCUCCUCCCACCUGUUUACCUGCCUGACAAGCUGCACAAGGUCUAUCUUUUUCGAAAUGUACAUUUGUUAGACCUAUCACAUGUUCUCCCUUUAGAAGCUUGUGGAGGUUCUUCAUCCCCACAUGUGCUAAGCGGCGAUGCCAUAGCCAGCCCAUGCAAGUCUUAGCCAUUAAGCAUGCAUCUAGACCGGCCUCUUCUUUUGCAAAAUCAACUAAAUAAAGUUUGCCGUCUAGUACACCCUUAAAAGCUAGUGAACCAUCACAUCUUCUAACGACAGACACAUCUACAUUUGUAAAUAAACAAUUAUAUCCCAUUUGACAUAAUUGACUGACAGAUAGCAAAUUAUAUCCAAGACUCUCCACUAAGAAUACAUUUGAUAUAGAAUGCUCAUUUGAAAUUGCAAUUUUACCUAGCCCUUUUACCUUGCCUUGAUUCCCAUCACCGAAUAUAAUUGAAUCUUGGGAAUCCUUAUUUUUGACGUAGGAGGUGAACAUCUUCUUCUCCCCCGUCAUAUGGUUUGUGCAUCCGCUGUCAAUAAUCCAGCUUGAACCCCCGGAUGCAUAAACCUGCAAGGCAAAUUUAGGCUUGGGUCUUAGGUACCCAACUCAUGUUGGGUCCUGCAAGGUUAGUCACAAUUUCCUUAGGGACCCAAAUGCAAGUUUUAUCACCUUUGCAUUUUGCCCCUAACUUCCUAGCAAUUACUUUUCUAUCCUUUCUACAAAUUGCAAAUGAAGCAUUCAAAGCACAAUAAAUUGUAGAGGGUUCAUUCACUCCUUUUCUAUGAACAUUUGCAACAUUUCUUUUAGAAACAACAUUUCUCCUAGUAACAUUUCUAUUAUACACAUAAGAAGAACUAGGAGCACACAUGGCAUGAGAAUCAUAAACAUAUGAAUCAAAAGCAUCAUAACUUCUAUUUCUAGUUUGUCUUUUAUCAUGAUACAAAAAGGCAUGGUUCCUUUUAGCACUAGUAGCCAUAGGGGCCUUCCCUUUCUCCUUGGCGGGAAUGGGAGCCUUAUGACUUGUUAAGUUCUUGGCUUCCCUCUUGAAGCCAAGUCCAUCCUUAAUUGAGGGGUGUCUACCAAUUGUGUAGGCAUCCCUUGCAAAUUUUAUUUUAUCAACUUCAUUCUUGCUAGUCUUAAGUUGGGCAUUAAGACUAGCCACUUCCUUAUUUAAUUUGGAAAUUAAAACUAGAUGUUCACUACAGGCAUCAACAUCGAAAUCCUUACACUUAGUGCAAAUUUUAACAUGUUCUACACAAGAAUUAGAUUUAUUUGCUACUUCUAACUUAGCAUUUAAAUCAUUGUUAACACCUUGUAAAGUAGAAAUGGUUUCAUGACAAGUAGAUAGUUCAUAAGAAAGCAUUUCAUUUCUUUUUACUUCUAAAGCAUAUGAUUUUUGUGCCUCUACAAAUUUAUCAUGUUCAUCAUACAAUAAAUCCUCCUGCUUUUCUAAAAGCCUAUCCUUUUCAUUCAAUGCAUCAAUCAAUUCAUUGAUUUUAUCUAUCUUAGAUCUAUCUAAGCCCUUGAACAAGCAUGAAUAAUCUAUGUCAUCAUCACUAGACUCACUAUCACUAGAAGAAGCAUAAGUGGAGUCUUGAGUACUCACCUUCUUCUCCCUUGCCAUAAGACAUGUGAGACGCUCGUUGGGGAAGAGAGCCGAUUUGUUGAAGGCAGUGGCGGCGAGUCCUUCGUUGUCGGAGUCGGAGGAGGAGCAAUCCGAGUCCCACUCCUUUCCUAGAUGCGCCUCGCCCUUUGCCUUCUUGUAUUGCUUCUUCUUUUCUCUUUUGUUCCCCUUUUCCUGGUCACUUUCAUUAUCGGGACAGUUAGCGAUAAAAUGACCAAGCUUACCGCAUUUGAAGCAUGAGCGCUUCCCCUUGGUCUUGGUCUUGCUUGGCUGCCCCUUGCGACCAUUUAGCGCCGUCUUGAAUCUCUUGAUGAUGAGAGCCAUCUCCUCAUCGUUGAGUCCGGCCGCCUCAAUUUGUGCCACCUUGCUAGGUAGCGCCUCCUUGCUUCGUGUUGCCUUGAGAGCGAGAGGUUGCGGCUCGUUGAUCGGACCAUUCAAGGCGUCGUCCACAUAUCUCGCCUCCUUGAUCAUCAUUCGCCCGCUAACAAAUUUCCCAAGAACUUCUUCGGGCGACAUCUUGGUGUACCUGGGAUUUUCACGUAUAUUGUUCACCAAGUGAGGAUCAAGAACGGUAAAUGACCUGAGCAUUAGGCGGACGACGUCGUGAUCCGUCCAACGCGUGCUUCCGUAGCUCCUUAUCUUGUUGAUAAGGGUCUUAAGCCGGUUGUAAGUUUGAGUUGGCUCUUCUCCCCUUAUCAUGGCAAAUCGUCCAAGCUCGCCCUCCACCAACUCCAUCUUGGUGAGCAUGGUGAUGUCGUUCCCCUCGUGAGAGAUCUUGAGGGUGUCCCAUAUCUGCUUGGCAUUGUCCAAGCCGCUCACCUUAUUGUACUCUUCCCUGCACAAAGAUGCUAAGAGAACAGUAGUAGCUUGUGCAUUUUUAUGAAUUUGUUCAUUGAUAAACAUAGGGCUAUCCGAGCUAUCAAAUUUCAUUCCAUUCUCUACAAUCUCCCAUAUGCUUGGAUGGAGAGAGAAUAAAUGACUACGCAUUUUGUGACUCCAAAAUCCGUAGUCCUCCCCAUCAAAAUGUGGAGGUUUACCAAGAGGAAUGGAAAGCAAAUGCGAAUUCGAACUAUGUGGAAUACGAGAAUAAACAAAUGAAAAGUUCGAAUUAACCGGUUUCCUUUGUUUGUCGUGAUCGUCGUCCUUUUGGGAAGAAGAGGACUCAUCGCUGUCGUAGUAGACGAUCUCCUUGAUGCGUCUUGUCUUCUUCUUCUUCCCAUCUCUUCGCUUGUGGCCCGAGCCCGAGUCAUUGGACUUGUCAUCCCUUGGCUCGUUGACGAAGGACUCCUUCUCCUUGUCGUUGAUCACAAUUCCCUUCCCCUUAGGAUCCAUCUCUUCGGGCGGUUAGUCCCUUUCUUGAAGAGAACGGCUCUGAUACCAAUUGAGAGCACCUAGAGGGGGGGGGUGAAUAGGUGAUCCUGUAAAAACUUCAAACUUAAGCCACAAAAAACUUGUUAAGUGUUAGCACGAUUAUUGCCAAGUGGCUAAGGUGAAGUCUCAACAAUCUCAACAAAACACAGUACAACAAGAGAAUCAAGCACAGAGUAACACAGUGGUUUUAUCCCGUGGUUCGGCCAAGACCAACGCUUGCCUACUCCACGUUGUGGCGUCCCAACGGACGAGGGUUGCAAUCAACCCCUCUCAAGCGGUCCAAAGACCCACUUGAAUACCACGGUGUUUUGUUUUCCUUUCACUAUCCCGUUUGCAAGGAAUCUCCACAAAUUGGAGUCUCUUGCCCUUACAAGUAUAUGAUCACAAAUGAAACACAGAGUAAGGGAGGGAAGCAACACACACAAAUCCACAGCAAAAGCGCACACACACGGCCAAGAAUCGAGCUCACAAGACUAUCUCAGAGUUCUCACUUAGAACAGAGCUCGAAUCACUUAGAAACACAAACGAAUGCGCAGAGACUUAGUGUGGAUGAUCAAGAAUGCUCAAAGGUUGCUUGUGUAUCUCCUCCAUGCGCCUAGGGGCUCCUUUUAUAGCCUCAAGGCAGCUAGGAGCCGUUGAGAGCAAAUCCGGAAGGCCAUCUUUGCCUUCUGUCGUCGGGGGCACCGGACAGUCCGGUGCACACCGGACACUGUCCGGUGCCCGAUUUGUUUCCUUAAACGGCGAAGACGACCGUUGCAGACCGUUGGCAGAUCUGGCUCUGUUGGCGCACCGGACAUGUCCGGUGCACACCGGACAGUCCGGUGCCGUCUUCCGACCGUUGGCUCGGCCACGUGUCCCGCGCGGAUUGCGCGGCCGACCGUUGGCCCUGGCCGACCGUUGGCUCACCGGACAGUCCGGUGCACACCGGACAGUCCGGUGAAUUUUAGCCGAAGUCGCCGGAGAAAAACCCGAGAGCGGCCUCUUCGAGUCGCGCCAGCCUGGCGCACCGGACACUGUCCGGUGCACACCGGACAGUCCGGUGCUCCAGACCGAGCUGGGUCUUGGCAGCACACAGCCAAGUCCCUUCUCCUUUUCUCUAUUCUUCUUCUUUCUGUUUCUAACACUUAGACAAAUAUAUUAGUACUUAAAACCAAUGUACUAAGGCUUAGAAACAUACCUUUACUUCAUGAUUUUCACCUUGUUCAUCCAUGUACAUAAAUUCACAUUUAGGCCCUUGUGUUUGCACUCAAUCACCAAAAUACUUAGAAAUGGCCCAAGGGCACAUUUCCCUUUCACCGUCUCUCCCCCGGCGUCGUCUGAUGAUUCAGACGACUCCCAGGGGAUUGCCGCGGAGGUCUGGACGUACAUCCGGGCCGUCGAGCGCUCUGGGCUCGAGGGCUCGGAUGAGUCGGAGUUCUCCUCGGAAGAGGAGGACUCGGACGGCGACGAGGGGGAGGAUGACGACGACGACGAAUACGACGACGGCGGCGAUGGCGGCGGCAGUGGCGGUGGCAGCGGCGGCGGCGAGGUGAGCAAGGGCGGCACCAAGGGCGGCAGCAGCGUGGGCAGCACCGGAGGCGGCGGCAGCAAAGGCGGCACCAGGGGCGGCGGCGGUGGUAGCAGCAGCAAGGCCAGUGGCUAAACGCCACUGGUCUUUAGAUAUUAGUAUAGUUAGAAUAAUGUAGUAGUAAUGUAGAGUAGUAUAGUGUAGUUUAGUAGUAGUAGUAGUGUAGAGUAGAAGUAGGGAAGCACCAACUCGCGAAGAGUUGGUUUGUAAACUUAUUAACUUCCCCUUAAUGAAGAACUGUCGUUGGCCCCAUCUCGAUGAUUCGCUUUCUCUGAUUGUUGAACUGGUUCUUUUGAUAUAGUAGAUGAAUAACUUGCGCAUCACAUUGACGCUUCCAGAAGUAGCUGUCGAGUAAUAUUGUAGUCGGUAUCGGCGUUUUAGAAGCAACGCCGAGCGAUUGAAGGUUGACAUCAGCGUUUUAGAAGUAACACCGAGCAAUCGAACACGAGAUCGGCGUUUUAGAGGCCACGCCGAGUGACUGAAGGUCGGCGUCGGCAUUUUAGAAGUAAUGCCGAGCGAUGGAAUACAAGUUCAGCGUUUUGGAGGCAACGCCGAGUGAUUGGAGGUCGGCGUCGGCGUUUUAGAAGUAACGUCGAGUCGAUUGAACACGAGGUCGGCGUGUUAGAAACCGCGCCGAGUGAUUGAAGGUCAGCGUCGGCGUUUUAGAAGUAAUGCCGAGCGAUAGAAUACAGGGUCAGCGUUUUAGAGGCAAUGCUGAGUGAUUCGAAGGUCGGCGUCGGCAUUUUAGAAGUAAUGCCGAGCGAUUGAAUACGGGGUCAGCGUAUUAGAGGCAACGCCGAGUGAUUUGAAGGUUGGCGUCGGCAUUUUAGAAGUAAUGCCGAGCGAUUGAAUACGAAGUCAGCGUCUUAGAGUCAACGCUGAGUGAUUUGAAGGUCGGCGUCGGCAUUUUAGAAGUAAUGUCGAGCGAUUGAAUACGGGGUCAGCGUCUUAGAGUCAACGCUGAGUACUAGCCAGCCGCGCGGGUUACUUUGAGGAUAAUAUCCGAGUGAUGAGGUGGCACGUCGACUUUUUCGGAAAUAACUGCCAGAUGAUGACUGGGCACUUUUUGAAGCGGUAUCUGGCUCAAGAAUAUCCCAUAAGAGUUGCGCUUUUAGCCGCCUUUGCUUUCCGUGCCCUAGUUCUUGCAUUUCCGCAUCUGAAUCUUCUCUGCCACUCGUCUCCUACUCUGUUCGCCAGUGAGAAGCAAGAUGGCGCCCAAGAGGAAAACUGCGAACUCGUCUGCUGCAGUGAUCCCCGCAAUCGACCCCAACAGUCAGUUACCCUUCGCAGGUAAUCAUAUGUCUGUUAUUUCUGAAGCUGAGCUUCUCCGUCUUGUCUCCAUCGGGGUUCUUCCUCCGCGGGAACUCUGUUCUUGGCGGAUUUGCCACGGGACUACUGUCCCAACCGAAGAUACCCACGAGUCAGUAGUUUACGCUCCUUUCCUUCUCCGCGGCCUCGGCCUUCCCAUCUCUCCUUUUUUCCGUGGCCUCCUUGAUUUUUAUCACAUCAACUUGACUCAUUUGAACCUUAAUUCCAUUCUCCAAAUCUCCAUUUUCGUUCACCUAUGCGAAGCCUACCUCGGUGUGCUGCCGCAUUUCGGUUUAUGGAAGUAUCUGUAUCACUGCCGUCCUGGGAUGGCCGGGGGGCAACAUCAGCUGGUCGGAGGUGCCAGUUUGGAGAUGCGCCGUGGGCGGAAGACCGAGUAUCUCGAGAUUCCCCUCAAAGAUAGAAUUAAAGGUUGGCGUCUGGAGUGGUUUAUAGUUGAUAAUUAUGGAAAUUCUCUCCCCUCCCGGUCAGGAAGACAGCCAGACGUUCGUACUCCGAGUUGGACUGAGUCUCCCACGGAUCAGGAAGUGGCCGAGGCAGGCGUGUUGCUUACUGAAGUCGGAUUACUGAAAGAGAGAGGUCUGACUGUCGAAGCUGUGGUCACAGAUUUUGUUUUCAAGAACAUUCAGCCGCUGAAAGACAGGGCCUAUCCGGCAUAUCUGUAUCGAGGGCUGGCCGACUCAACCCGGGUUAUCAAUAGGAGAAUUCCUUCUGUUGACUUGGUAAGCCGACUUGAGAUGAUCCUCAGGGGUAAAGUUUCAAAUGUUUGUGCUCCAGUGGCAUACUCGGCUUGGAACCUACCUCCUCCCAAAGCUUUCACCCUUUUUGUGUCCAAUCCGCCCUUGACUGAUAGCAAUUUGGGUCUUAGAGUGCGACCCUCUGCUGAAGAAGUCCGUACUUUGGUUGCUUCGCUCGGGGAGAUUCCUGAUGAUGAACGGCAGGUUUAUUUUGAAGUGCCCCUGAACCCUAGUGAUGCAGACAUAAAUGACAUGCUUGAUCUGUUAGCUGAGGAUUCAUCUGAUGUUGCUCCUGAUGGUACGUUGGCAGUGGUGCCCCUUCCAGAGGUUGAUACAACUUUGGAUGUCCCGAAACCUGUCAGUACUCGCCCGAGGCGCCCUAGCCGAACUAGUCAGCCUGAGCCUUUUGCUGAUGAGCAAAAGAAGAAGAGAAGACGCCUCCGGCGAGUAUCCAGCUUUGACGAGGACGCCAGUACCUUAGCUCCUGCUGCUGAAGAAAUGACUGCAACUGGCCUUGCUGACAUUGAUCCCAAUGGGUGUGCUCCACCUGCUGCUGACCCCAAUGAGGAUGCUGUUUGCGCUGUUACUGUGGAGGAUGAGGAGGGAGAAAAUGAAGCUCCAUUAACUCGGAAAAACAGUCGGCAGUUCGUCGCCAGCGGUGGAAGUAGUGGAGUUCCUUCUCCUGCUUUGUCUGCCCUUAUUGGUCUGCAAGAACUGUCCAUGGCCAACUUUGAUCAAACUCUAGAGGAUAUGGUCCCGGAGAACUUGUUGUCAGAGCUUGUGGAUGUUGAUGCAACAGAGACUUGUGCAGCCGUGCCCGAUGCUGGGUUGAGGUCAUCCCGUGCCUCGUCGACCUUAGAGCAUGAUCUCGAGGGUCGGGAUGCUGACUUGGAUUGUCCUGGUCCCAUGGAAGUAGCUGAAGGCCCGUCAACCUUAGAGGUGGUUACGGCAGAGAGCUUGGACCCUUUGAAUAGUGCUAACACGUGCCCAGCCCCCGAGGAUGUCGCUGGGGGAGACUUAGCUCGGGUGAAGAGUAUAAGCCACUGCCCAGCCCCCGAGGGUGUUGCCGGGGAUGAUCCGGCUCAAGUGGGCAGUGCCAACUGUGACCCAGCCCCCGAGGGUGUCCGAGCAAGGUCUCCUUCCUGCACUUCCAUGGAUGUUCAUGCGGGUUCACCUCCACAAUCUGGCGGCAUGGUGGUGGCCCAAAUUCUGGAUCAGGGAGUCGCUUUAGAGGGCAGCGUCCCCACUGGUCUGGCGUUUGGUUCUGUUGAAGGCACUGAGCUCGUUUCUACUGGUCUGUUGCAAGCUGUUCCGGGUGGUGGUCUGGCAUCUGAUUAUCAGCUGAUUUCUCCUGAUUUGGGGAUCCCUUUGUUCUUUUCCAAUCUCCAGGUACUGUGCUGCACUUUUAGCUUGAUCUUUACAUUUGCAUGAAUUUUUGUCAUUAUGUUCAUCUGUUCUUCCCAUCAGGCUUUGGUGGAUGGGAUGGCCAGCCAGCUGAGGUCGCAGGGUGCUUCCAUCCCAGAAGUGGCUUCAUCUCUUGAGCGUUGGAACCCGGUAUCGCUUCAUCGUCGUGUAUCCGAGUUGGAGGCAACUAAUUCUGGUUAGUGCCCUUCUUCUUCUUCUAUGCCUUUGUUCGUGGACUGUUUUACCUUUUGUCCUCAUUUCGUUUGAUUACCUCUUGAUAGGAAUGACUCGGCAGAUCGCAGUCCUUGAGGAAAAACAUUCCCGAGAUCAAGCUGAAAUGGCUCAACGGUGUGCUGACUUCGAGGAUAAGUAUUCUCAGAGCCAGACUGAACUGAAUCAGGUCUCCGCUGCUUUGGAUGAUGCCAACGCUCUGAGUUCUUCUCUUCACGCUCGGCUUGACUCCGAAAAGGUAACUUACAGAACCGUGCUUCGCCUUAUUACAUGCUUGGAUUCUGAAUGAGUUGAUUUUUGCUUGUAGGAAGAAAAACGCAUCCUUGCUGCUUCUCGCGACAAUCUGGACAGAUUGUAUCGAGAUUCCAGCAACUCGCUAACCAUCUUGGAGAGGAGCCACCGUUUUACGAUGGAAGUGAGAGCACCUAUAGGGGGGGUGAAUAGGUGAUCCUGUAAAACUUAAACUUAUAGCCACAAAAACUUGUUAAGUGUUAGCACAAUAAUUGCCAAGUGGCUAUAAAGGAGUCUCAACAACACAAUACCACAAGAGAUCAAUCACAGAGAUGACACAGUGGAUUAUCCCGUGGUUCGGCCAAGACCAACGCUUGCCUACUCCACGUUGUGACGUCCCAACGGACGAGGGUUGUAAUCAACCCCUCUCAAGCGGUCCAAAGACCCACUUGAAUACCACGGUGUUUUGCUUGCUUUUUCUCAAUCCCGUUUGCGAGGAAUCUCCACAACUUGGAGCCUCUCGCCCUUACAAUUGAAGUUCACAAAGAAACACAGAGCAAAGGGGGGAAUGAGCAACGCACACAAGACUUCAAAAGAUCAGAGCAACAACACGCACACAAGUAGCAACAAGAGCUCGCAACACAACUCAAAGAGUUCACAACUCCACAAGAGCUCUAUAUGCUAUCACAAUGAAACGAAUGCGCAAGAUCGAUGUCUUGGUGCUUAGGAAUGUUGUAGGAAUGCUUGGUGUUCUCCUCCAUGUGCCUAGGGGUCCCUUUUAUAGCCCUAAGGCAGCUAGGAGCCGUUGAGAACAAAUCUGGAAGGCCAUCCUUGCCUUCUGUCGUCGGGCGCACCGGACAGUCCGGUGCACACCGGGCACUGUCCGGUGCCCGAUUUCCUUCCUUAAGCAACGCAGCCGACUGUUGCAGAUCAGGGAGCCGUUGGCGCACCGGACAUGUCCGGUGCACACCGGACAGUCCGGUGCCCCCUUCCGACCGUUGGCUCGGCCACGUGUCCCGCGCAGAUCGCGCGGCCGACCGUUGGCCCGGCCGACCGUUGGCUCACCGGACAGUCCGGUGCACACCGGACAGUCCGGUGAAUUUUAGCCGUACGCCGUCGGCAAAUUCCCGAGAGCGGCCUCUUCGCUCGGGGCAGCCUGGCGCACCGGACACUGUCCGGUGCACCACCGGACAGUCCGGUGUGCCAGACCGAGCUGAGUCUUGGCUGUACACAGCCAAGCUUUUUCCUCCUCUCUCUUCUUUUCUUCUUCUUUCUGUUUCUAACACUUAGACAAGUAUAUUAGUACACAAAACCAAUGUACUAAGGCUUAGAAACAUACCUUUACUCAUGAUUUGCACUUUGUUCAUCCAUGGGCAUGAAUUCACAUUUAAGCACUUGUGUUGGCACUUAAUCACCAAAAUACUUAGAAAUGGCCCAAGGGCACAUUUCCCUUUCAGGAAGAACUGGACAAUCAGCGUCGCCGGCUGCAAGAAUCUGCGGACGAAGUGACCCGCCUUAAGCAAUUGGUAUCAGCGAAGGAUGCCACCAUCAAGGGACUUCGAGCUUCUAAGAAAUCCAUUGCUCAGGAGUUAGAAACUGCUCAGCUGGCCGCUAAAGUCGCCGAAGAGACUGCUGCUACUCUCAAAGCCCAGCGCGAUAAAGCCAUGGACAAGGCUAUUCGAGCGGGACGAAUCUUGAUGAGGAGACCCGGAGUGGUAGUUCCUGAAGACAUAAAGGCCGACGUGCAUGCCGCCCCCGAUUCCUCGAAUCACCCUUCUUCGUCGGUCGUUCCUGAGAAAGAUAUUGGAAAAUAGAGAAACAUUUUGCGUGCCAUGAGCGCGCGGUUAGUAUGAUCAAGUACUCAUUAGAGGAUAUCAGCUUAUCGUUCGAAUGUCAUGAUUACUUUCUUAUCGUAUCAGAAUUUAUUAGUUCGCAAGUUUGUGGUAAUGCUGCACGAUAAUUAUGAAGUUUGUUUGUGGGAUAUGGAAGUCAUCCCCUGAAUUGCAUAAGCGCGAGUAUGCUAUACCGGCUUAAGCCAUCAAUGACUUUAGCCGAUAACUCCGUUAGUAGGGCAUAGUGGUCGCCCUGGGUUAAGUAGGCGUGAGCAUGUUGCACCGGCUUAAGUCGUUGCCGACUUAAGUCGAUUGCUCCGUUUGUAGGGCAAGCAUGUUGCACCGCCUCAAGUCGUUGCCGACUUAAGUCGAUUGCUCCGUUUGUAGGGCAUAGUGGUCACCCCGAAUUAAGUAAGCGUGAGCAUGUUGCACCGCCUCGAGUUGUUGCCGACUUAAGUCGAUUGCUCCGUUUGUAGGGCAUAGUGGUCACCCCGAAUUAAGUAAGCGUGAGCAUGUUGCACCGCCUCAAGUCGUUGCCGACUUAAGUCGAUUGCUCCGUUUGUAGGGCAUAGUGGUCACCCCGAAUUAAGUAAGAAUGCAAGUCAACCGUAAACGAGCCGAGUAUCUUUGAAAUCUCUCUUUAUUGAUGACGUAUUUCCAUUUUACAAAAUACAUGGUCGCUCCAGCUGUUUUGAAAUACAGCUAGGGGUAAAACUUUCUGAGGUGCUCUAUGUUCCAGGAGUUCCCAACUUCUGUGCCAUCCAUCUGGGUGAGGCGAUACGAUCCGGGCCGAGUGACCUCUGCUACUAUGAAUGGCCCUUCCCAUAAGGGUGAUAACUUGUGUCGUCCCUCCCCCGUUAGAAUUCGGCGGAGGACGAGGUCCCCUAUCGAAAAGAAACGUUGCCGCACAGCUUUGUCGUGGUAGCGCCUUAGAGUCUGCUGGUAUCGUGCCGAUUGGAUUACUGCAUUCAGUCGUUCUUCCUCAAGUACAUCAAUAUCCUCCAGCCUGGUGGCUUCGGCUUCUGCUAUGCUUUCGAAGAUCAAUCUUGGCGCCCCAAACUUGAGAUCAGCAGGUAGCACUGCCUCUGACCCAUAGACCAUGAAGAAAGGAGUGUUUCCAUGCAGGGCCCGGCUAGGUUGGGUUCUCAAGCUCCAAACAACAUAAGGCAGUUCUCUUAUCCAUUUUCCUGCGAAUUUUUCGUUCUUAUCGAAGACCCUUUUCCUGAGUGCCUCCAAUAUCAUUCCGUUGGCUCGCUCAACCUGCCCGUUGGCUCUUGGAUGUGCUACAGAUGCGUACUUGAUCUGAAUGCUCUUUUGCUCGCAGAAGUCAAAGAAUUCUGAACUGGUGAAGUUGGAUCCCAAGUCAGUGAUGAUACUGUUUGGUAUCCCGAAUCUGAAUAUUAUGCUUUGUAUGAAUUCCACGGCUUUAGCAGAGGUUAAAGAAGCAAUGGGCUGGAACUCUAUCCAUUUAGUGAAUUUGUCAAUUGCCACCAAUACAUGGGUAUAUCCUCCUUGAGCUUUCUUGAAAGGUCCAAUCAUAUCCAAUCCCCAGCAAGCGAAGGGCCAAGUUACUGGUAUGGUCUGUAGCUGUUGUGCUGGCAUGUGCUGUUGCUUUGACAGGUAUUGGCAAGCUUCGCAUCUCUGAACUAACUCGGCUGCAUCGUUCUUCGCCGUUGGCCAAUAGAAUCCUGACCUGAAAACCUUCCCGACUAGUGUUCUGGAUGCUGCAUGUACUCCACACUGCCCUGCAUGGACUUCCUCCAGAAGUUGCUUCCCGGUGGACGGGAGAACGCACUUCAUGAGGACGCCUGACGCGCCCCUCCUGUAUAAUACCUCCCCAAUGAGUGUAUAGUGAGCCGAUUGUCUGGCAAUACGCUCUGCCGAGUUCUUGUCAUCUGGUUCUUCUUCAUUCUUUAUAUACUUAAUGAUCGGCUGUCUCCAAUCGUCAGAGUCUGACUCGGGUUGAUCUAUGAUGUUGCACUCUUCUAUUUGAUCCGUCGAGAUACUCGGCUGGAGAAUUUCUUGCAUGAAGACCCCGGGCGGGACCUGAGUCCGACCGGAUCCGAGCUUGGACAGUACGUCGGCUGCCGUGUUCCGAUCUCUUUCUAUAUGAUGAAACUCCAGACCCUCGAAUUUAUCUUCCAGCUUUCGGAUGGCAGCGCAGUAUUUUCCCAUUGAAUCACUUGAACAAUCCCAUUCCUUGUUUAUCUGGUUGAUGACUACCAGGGAAUCUCCAUAUACCAUCAGUCUCUUGACGCCCAGUGAUAUGGCGAUGUUUAAUCCAUGUAUCAAAGCUUCAUACUCGACUGCGUUGUUAGAGGCCGGGAAUAGCAACUGGAGGGCAUACUUGAGGUGUUCGCCUCCAGGUGCAGUGAAGAGAAUCCCUGCUCCUGCUCCCUGCAGCUUCAGCGAGCCAUCAAAAUACAUUCGCCAUACUUCUGUCGUCUCUGGAUUGUCUGGAACUUGCUGUUCUGUCCACUCUGAUACGAAAUCAAUCAGUGCUUGAGUUUUGAUGGCAGUGCGAGGUCGGAACUCGAUAUCAUGGGAUCCAAACUCGCAAGCCCACUUGGCUAUUCGGCCAAUGGCUUCCUUGUUGUGAAGAAUGUCCCCUAUUGGAAAACCAGUAACUACUAUGACUUUGUGGUCGUCAAAGUAGUGACGCAGCUUGCGGGCAGUUAGAAGUACUGCAUAUAAUAGCUUCUGAACCUGAGGAUACUUUUUCUUCGAGGGGCCUAGAACCUCACUGAUGAAGUAAACAGGAUGUUGUACUGGAUAGGCAUGUCCUUCUUCUACUCGCUCGACUACCAACGCAGUGCUUACCACGUGAGUCGUGCAAGAGAUAUACAGCAACAAAUCUUCAGCCGGUUGAGUCGGCGUAGCUCGCCGGGGUGGUUUCAAUACUGGCGGUGUUGUCAAGAAUUUUUUCAGUGCAUCUAGAGCUUCUUGUGCUUCAGAAGUCCACUGAAACUUGUCCACCUUCUUGAGUAGCUUGUAAAAUGGCAAACCUUUCUCUCCCAGUCUGGAUAUAAAUCUGCUCAGAGCAGCCAUACAUCCAGUGAGUCGCUGAACCUUCUUUUGUGACCGAGGAGCUUUCAUCUUCAUGAUAGCUUCAAUCUUAUCUGGAUUAGCCUCAAUUCCUCGGUGGCUGACGAUAAAUCCGAGCAACUUUCCUGCUGGUACCCCGAAAACGCAUUUUUCAGGAUUGAGCUUCCAUCUAUAUCUUCUCAGGCUGUUGAAAACCAGCUGUAAAUCUUCGAUGAAGUUUUCCGAAUUCUCUGUUUUGAUCACCACGUCAUCAACGUAAGCCUCCACACGCUUGCCCCAGUGAUCGGCUAAGCAUGUUUGAAUGGCUCUCUGAUAAGUCGCUCCAGCGUUUUUGAGGCCAAACGGCAUGGAGGUAUAACAGAAAGCACCAAACGGGGUGAUGAACGCCGUUUUUUCCUCGUCUUCUUUUGCCAAACUAAUCUGAUGAUACCCGGAAUAGCAAUCUAAGAAAGACAGCACAGAACAUCCAGCGGUGGAAUCCACCACUUGAUCUAUCCUCGGGAGCCCGAAGGGAUCCUUCGGACAGUGUUUUUUGAGAUCAGUAUAGUCGACGCACAUGCGCUAAUCCACUUUAUUCUUUUUGAGUACAAGAACAGGGUUGGCUAACCACUCGGGGUGUAAUACCUCUCUAAUAAAUCCAGCCGCGACCAAGCGAGCUAACUCGGCCCGAAUGGCCUCUCUUUUGUCGGGCGUGAAACGACGUAGCUUUUGCCGGAUCGGCCUCGCCUGAGGAUAGACCUUCAAUUUGUGCUCGGCCAGUUCUCUUGGGACUCCCGGCAUAUCCGCAGGUUGCCAUGCGAAUACGUCUCGGUUAUCUUGCAGGAACUGGACGAGCGCGCUUUCCUAUUUGUCAUUCAAAUUGGAGCUGAUGAUGGCCGUUUUGCGCUCAUCAGCAAACCCCAGGUUGAUCCGCUUGGUUUCUUAAGUCGGCCGCAUAGAGGUCACGGCCUGAGCUUCGUUUGCCGGUACGGCGAGGUCUUCCUCAGGCUUAGAGUUCGCCGGCGUAGGAGGAACCGUUGACGGCUUGGUGGUGAGGGCUGCUUGGAUGGCCACUCGGAAACAUUCUGCGGCGCCUUGGAAGUCGGCGCGCACAGUUAUGAUUCCUUGCGGUCCUGGCAUCUUCAGUAUCAUGUAUGUAUAGUGCGGAAUGGCCAUGAAUUUGGCCAGCCCCGGCCUCCCGAUGAUGGCGUUGUACCCGCAGUCGAAGUUCGCCACCUCGAACCUCAGGAACUCGGUUCUGUAGUUCUCCGGAGUCCCGAAGGUGACCGGCAUGUAGAUGUGGCCCAGCGGGUAUUCCCCUUCCGUCGGCACGAUGCCGAAGAAAGGAGUGUCUGACUCGUGGAGCUCUUUGAGGUGAACUCCCAAGCCUUGGAGCGUACGGGGGAAGGUGACGUUGAUGCUGCUCCCCCCGUCCACUAGCACCUUCUUUACCCGGCUCUCUCGGAUCACCGGAUCGACGAGGAGCGGGUAUUUGCCUGGAUGGUCGAAGUUGAGCCAUUGAUCCUCCCGAGUGAAAGUGAUCGGGUGCUCCGACCACCGGUAUGGGGCGGGCGGUCCGGUGGCCGCCACCAGUAUCUGGCGGUCGUUGAGAUUUUGUUGUCUUUUGUUCUCCUGCGACCCAUGUCCACCGAAGAUGACGUUGACCUCCCUGUCAACGCGUGGGAAAGCUCCUCCUCCCCCCUCCUCCUGCUGAUGGGGCUGUCGUGGUUCAUCUGGUCCUCCCCUCGGCGGAGGAGGCGGAAGAGGUUGGAAGGGUCGGCCGUGCCCGACGGAGUGCUUGAAGUCCCGGCAGUUACGGAGAGUAUGGCGCAUGUCCUUGUGGUACGGGCACUGGGCGUCGAGGAUGUCGUCCAGCGUGCGCUCGCCUCCAUGAGGUCCUCCUCGGGCGCGAGAGGCGGGUGGUCCGGCGGCGUGUACUUCUUCACGAGGCCUCUUCUCCCAGCGUUUGUCGGAUGGCUGGUUCGCGUCGCGUCGUGGUGCUGCCGGUGCAGGCUUUGCUCCUCCGAUGAGAUCCUGGGCCCGCUCGUCGGCGGUGAUGUAGAGGUCGGCUUCCCGGAACAGCUCCUCGGAGGUAGUCGACGCCUUUUGUAGUAUGGCUCGGACGAAAGCCGAGUCAUUGGAUCCUCUGUAGAAGUCCUCGAUCACGGCUGCCUCCGUGACCUCGGGGAUGCGGUUUCUCAUGGUCUGGAACCUUUUGAGGUAUGACCGGAGAGUCUCAUCCCCCCGGCGCUUGAUGGAUUUGAGGUCCCAUGGUUGCGCUGGCUUGUCGGAGAGAGACUAGAAGUUGGCGGUGAAACGUCGACUGAAGUCUCCCCAGUCGUCGAUGCAGUGUCGGGGUAGAUGUCGUAGCCACUGCAGCGCAUCUUGCCCAAGGACGAUGGGCAGAUACGCGGUCAUGACGUCUUCGGAUGCUCCGGCAGCCCGAGCAGCGGUGGUGUAGACGGCUAACCAACCCCCUGGAUCCUGCUUAGGUUCAUAUUUGUCGACAUUGGAUACCUUGAAGUUGGGGGGCCAUUGGAUGGCCCUAAGGCGCGGAGUAAGAGCGGAUACUCCGCACGUGUCUUCCUGUCGUCGGGGACGAUGUCUGUCCCGGGGAGGGGAGUGGUGGUGAUGGUUCCUCGACCGUCCCCGGGUGGUACCGCCAGUUGAAGCUGUGGCCGACUCAGUCCUGGUGGCCUGGCUUUGAGUCGGGAAGCCGUGAUCUCGAUCAUACUCCUCCCGACGGCGAAUUUCGUUUUCAUGCCGCCGUUCGUGCGAAGCAUUGAUAGAGCUUCGUGCGUCUCGGCGACUGUUGAUGGCGUGUCGCAAAUCGUUCGGCGGGUGAGCGAGCGGUAGAAGAUGGUUGGCCGCCUGAGUGAACAGGUGUCGGUAUCCCUCGGCGUCGGGAGUCCGAGGAAGUCCGUCAGCUAUCCGAGCUAGAACGCCUCCGACCUCGCUUGGCGUGUUCAUAGCUCGGGCGAAGUCGGGGUUCAGGUUGCGCCCGAAGAGCGGAUUCUCCCGGCGUUGCCUUGCAUCUUGCUCGGCUUGCUCCUGAGUCCGUCGGCGAUCACGUCGUCGGGAGUUCCUUCGUUCCCUGAAGACACGUUCUUCCGGAGUUUCCCCUAUCUCCGAGACCUCGUCUCGCGAGACAGGCUGCUCCGGAUCCCGUUCUCCGGCCGCGUGAUGUCGUCGAACGUUCCUGCGUCGGUUCCUCCGUCGGCGGGAUUCUCGUUGAGGUGGUUCUUCCCCAGGCGCGGUCGGUUCGUCGUCAGAGACGGCGGGCGACUCCACUCUCCCGAUGAAGAGGACGUCGGGGUAGAAUGGUACUGCUGUCGUGGCGACUUUCUUUCCGUUCUCCUUUGAGGCCGGAGGAACGGGAAGAACGACUUGCCUCUCCCUGGUCUCCUUCUUUCUCGCGACCCGUGUCCAUUCUUUCGUCGGGGAAGUAGACAGCGGAGUCUUCUGGGUCAGCGAGCUUCUAGCUCCAGCCUCCCCGGAGACGAUCUUUUUCCGAAGAGCCGGAGGUAGCGUCUUUCCAGCUUUUUCGGAGUUUGUUGGAAGAAACUUCUUUUCCGGCAGAUCCGCGAUGCGGUGUAGAAUUCCCUCUUCAUCCGCUACAGAUGAGAUUGUCCCGAAGCAGAAUACAGAUCCGGGACGCACGGUGAUCUUGCUGCGGAAGGUGACGGCCAUUGAGCUAGCUUGGAUCGUCGACACACCCCCUACCUGGCGCGCCAGCUGUCGGUGUUUUGGGUCCGACCGCACACCCGGGGUUGCCCCUCAAGAUGUUUUUAGGAGUAGGACGGUGUCGACGACUGUAGCAAAAUGGUUCGUGCUGAUCGCACGAGGGACAAUGGACAAGGUUUGCAGGUUCGGGCCGCUUAGAGAUGCGUAACACCCUACGUCCUGAUGAGUAUUCGAGUGUGGUUACAAGAGGACUCUCUGGGUGGAAGGCACAGAGAGUUUACGUGGGUGGCUAAACAAAGUAGGGUCGAUCGUUCUGAAGGGGUGCCCCCUAGGCCUUAUAUACUCGACCGUGGGGCAGUACAUGUGGAUAUGAUAACAACAAGUAGCUAAAAGAUAGUGAACCUCCUGAGUUUAUCCCUACGUAACCCUCGCCGACUUAUCCUCGCAUGGCUCCGUUGCAUGGGGGUUUCAGCGCGGGAAAGUCGGGUCUCUGUUGCGAUUUAUUCGUUCGACGUUGUGGGCCGUCCGGGUUUGCACCAAUCCGGUCUCACGUCUUCUCUUCUUUGUUGGUUGUCUUUCCCCAGGCCCACGAAAGAAUGACCUUACGAAUUAUUGGGCCCUUGGGCCUUUCGUGAGGCUUUUUACUUCUUUAGUGGACCCAGGGGAUAUCUAUCCCCCACACAGGAGUUAACCUAUAAUUCUACAACAGCAACACCAAAUUAGAGAUUUCUCCACAAUUGCACACAUAAAUACACAAAACAUACACAUCACAAACAUAUUGAUAUCACACAUACACAUUAAUGACAUCACACAUCACAAACGCAUUGAUAUAAUUCACACAUCACAAACAUUUCAGAUACGAGAGUGGUUACACAAACAUAACGUCCACGAGUUAAAAUACAUAACGAGCACGAGUUCAAGUGUUUAGGGAUAACCACCACUUGGGUGGUUAGAGCUUUGACCGCUGCCGCCACCACCACCAGGAGGAGGGAACGUGAAGAGCGAGUCAACAAAUCCAGUCCCUGCUACGGGAUCAGACCCACUACCACCAGCUUCGGGCGUAACCUAUGCAAGUUAGCAAAUAUCAACAUGUUAAAUGCAAAUAUCAAAAAGUAUACAAGUGUAUAAAUUAAUCGACAGUUAUCAAACGUACCCUAUCUCCGGUGUAGGUAUAUGUGUCGGAGGGGUGUUGAACUGUGGUGGCGGAGCUGGUGUGUUUGCAAAAUGGCUCCAUUGUGGUGGUGGUGGAAAAUUUGUUGCCAUGCCCUGUUGCUGCAUUAACUGUUAAACAUAUGUGUUAAUAUUGAAGAUGUUGUAUUGAAAUAGAAUAAUUUAGAGUUCGGAUUAUGUAUACUCACUUGAUACAUCGCUUGGUUAUGUGCAUUGCAUGCCUCCAUAAAUUCUCGUUGUUGUCUCAUCUCCUCACGCAUCCUCAUAAUCUCCAACUCCUGCUCGUUCGGUCGACGAGAGCAUGAGCUACGGGAAGAUGAACAUGUCCUCUGAGAUCUCACCGACGACGAGUCAAUGAAUCCGUCGAAGAGUGCGUAUCUAUAAGUGAUUCAAAAAAUGUGAUUACUGCAUAGUCAAUUUAGUGUCAACCAUAUAAUUUCAUAAGUUAGAGCUUACCGUCCAUGCGCUUUGCCACCACCACUUGCGUACACCACCGAGGGAUCCACCGGUUCAUGGCGCCAAUCGAAGUCAGGGCCAUGGCGACGAACCAUCUCCUCCCCAUAUGCCGCCUAUACAUCAUUCACAACCUUACAAAUGCAGGAAUUUCUAUACUUUGAACGUUUGUACUUUUUGGCCAAAACUCACCAGUCGAUCCGUGGCUGUCUGGCUGCAGAGCUGGUCAGGGUUGUUCGGGUCUGGUCCUUUGUGGCCCUCCUGGUAGACCUCAAUAUCACUAGGCUUUUGGCCACUCGUAGCUUCCUGUAUAAAUAAAAAACAUUCAUAAGCAAUCGUAUUAUUUGAUGAUCGACAUAGAUAGAUCAAACUUACCAUUCUUUUAGCUUUUCGUAUCAUGUCGUCACCGCCAAACUUAUGAUUAGGAUUGGUUCCUCGACAUUGUCUGUGAUGCGCUGACGCUUUCUGGAAGCCUUCGGAAGCCCAAUAUCGACACCAAGCAUAGUACGCAUCAGGCACGGGCGCCAUCCAUGGAACCAUCACCUGCACACACAAUGUUACAUAUUAUAUCAAUCACAACAAUCAAUAUAAAGGGUAAAACAAAUUGAAUACUAACCUCACGAUAUUGAUCCUCAGUCAAAUAUAUCUUUGAGGACCCUUCCUUUUUAUUCAAGGGGCCUGCUUCUUCCGGAUGCUUUUGAAAAUACAGGUUUGUAGCCUGAAUUCUCGCAUAGUAUAUGACAUCCUUCACCAGCUUCUUUGCAUUGUUUUGGAAGACACGUUCAGCGUGCCCCAUGUAAUCCUCUCCGUCAGGCAACCGAUAUCGAAGCUACAACAUAAAGAAUACAAAUACAAUGGUAUAAGUCAUAGAUUUACAAUAUUAAGAAACAUAACAAAAAUAAUAAAAAAUUCAUACCCAAAAGUCAUUACGCACAAGUUCCUGUCUAUCGGUGUGGUUUCGUUCCUUUUUAAACUUGUACUCGUCCCAGGUACUGACGAGCACCUCAUCCUCGGUAUCACCGUUUGACACCUUCACUAUACCAGGGUAGUGAAGGCGGCAAAGAGAACCCAACGUAAGGUUAACCUGAGUGUGGUGUCCCUUGUCGUCAAAGGACAGGUCCUCCCAAUUCCUGCAUUACACAAAAACAUUAACAAUACACAUAAUAGUUAUAUGAGAUAAGUUAAUAUAUUACACUCAUCGGUCUCCAUGUGGCAUGAUUAAAGUCCUAUCAGCCUCUCGCUCUAUCGCGUGACGAGGCUUUAUUGAGUGGCUUUUUCUUGAGCGACGUGUGCGUGUCGCUGAAGAGCCUCCCGUGCCAUCAUCCAUCAGGUUGUCAGUCGGUUCGCCCUGUUGGCCCCACUGGUCCCACGCCUGUUGCUGCUCUCUCUGGUGGUCCCACUGGUCCCAUGGCUGGUGAUGCUGUGUGGCCUGGUCCCAUGUCACGUGCUCCACCUCCUCAUUGUGCUGCUCAGCCUCAUUGUGCUCCUCCUCCUCAAUGUGCUGCUCCUCAGUGUGCUGCUCAUCCUGGUACAUACAACUCAAGAUUUAUUUGUAAAUAUGUAAACAAAUUUAUUUGUACAAGAUAUGUUACCUCAUCUCCAUGUACCGCGCUCAACAGCUCUCGAUGUCUGCUGCUGCUCGAAGAACUGCCCUGAAAAAGGCCCAGGCCCUUGAAUAGCCCCUUCACUGACUUCUUUGAUUUUGGCGGCAUCCUGCAUAAAAAAUAAGAAAUUAUUCAUUAGUGCAUCAAAAAUGACAUAAUACUUAAAAAUAUAAACAAAUGAAAUAACAAAACAACUUUACUUGUUAAAUAUCAUCAAAAUCAGGAUCUAUUUGUUCUCUUCUAUGCAGAGGUCGCCAUGUAACUUUUCUCCUAACAGGUUGUCUUCUCCGUCUCUCGGGAAAAGUUAAGUCGUUAACGUCUGCAACUAGUGAAUCUAAUGCCGGUGCAGAAUCAAUAUGAAAACUAGUUGGCAACUCUUCUUCUUGAAACACCUCAUCAACCUGCUCAAGGUGACCAAUUUGAUAUUCGUCCUCACCAGGAGUGUAUAGGCGUUCGCGGGGAUUUACAUUGUACACAACCCUCCAUUUAGACAACUUUUUGCAUGGAUAUGUCGAGAAAUAAACUUGGUCUGCUUGAUGGGCAAGGAUAUACGUGUCGUGUCCUUCAAGCAAUUUUUCAGGUUGGAUCUGUGUCAUCCCAAAUUCGGUCCUAUAAUACUUCGGGUCAUACCAUUUACACUCAAAAAAAACUAGCGCUAAAGGCUUAUUUCCAGCAAAUGUAAUCUCGAUUAUAUUUUUGAUUUUCCCGUAAUAGCAGGCUUCGUGUCCUUCCAUGUCGGUUGCCCUAGUAACGACUCCACUAUUUUGAGUGGCGGCCAUAGGAUGACUUGAUUCGAAAAUGCUUGAACGAAAGCGAUAUCCACUAACGUCGUAACGUCCAUAACUUUUGGCAGUUACGCUUCCAAUAGAUAACUGACGUAAGUCAUCAUUCAAAUUCAUUUCCUCCCCAAACUGUCAAUUAUGCCACAAAGCAUUAGCAAAUUCUGUAAUAUGAGUUAACUGAAAUUGGCUCUCGGAGCCAAAUAAUUAAGACUUACACGGCCCCGAAGCCACAUAAUGAAAUUAGGUCGCCCAUGCAUACCAUCGCGUCGCAAUUUGUCUAUGUCUCUCGCUGUUGGCCUACCGAGACACCUCAUGUUUUGUUCAUCGAACUCGCUGUCAAAUAUUAUUUUAUGACAUGAGAUAUUUGAUAACAUAAACUAAUUCACAUAUGAACAGUUUAAGAAAAUAAGUCUUACACCAAGUAUUUCUCCACCUCAGGCAUAUUCGUGAACAUGUACAGUAAAGCAGACUUCUGUUCUUCCAUACUAAGGUGAUAUGCCUUGGGUGGACCAACGGCUUUGUCGUUUGUCUGAAAAAUUGAAAGAUCACUACACGGAGGCAUCUCUCGUUCAUCAUCAUGGUACAUUUUCUUUCGAGCAAAUACAUUAUGUUCUUCUGCAAAGUAACAACUUGUGAAGUGUGCUACCUCCUUUAGUUUAAAUUGUUCAGCAAUACAUCCUUCAACUCUUGCCUUAUUGCCCACCAUUGCUCUAAGCUUCUUUAAUGCUCUUUCUAUAUGAAACAUCCACCUGUACUGAACAGGACCACCGACCUUAGCCUCAUAUGGAAGAUGUACAAAGAGAUGCUGCAUAGGAUUGAAGAAACCCGGUGGAAAUAUUUUUCAAAUUUGCACAAAAGCAUCGGUGCCUCUUUCUCCAGCUGUUCCAUCACAUCUCUUCUGAUUUCUUUAGCACACAACUGUCUGUAGAAAUAGCUAACUUCAGCUAACGUUUUCCACACAGCUUCGGAAAUGUACCCACGAAACAUUACAGGCAUGAGCCUCUCCAUAAUUAUGUGGAAGUCAUGGCUCUUCAGUCCAUUCAUCUUCAUUGUCUUCAAGUUCACAGAUCUUCUAAAACCAGCGGCAUAACCAUCGGGGAAUUUAAUAUCCUUCAUCCACUUCAUCACUUCUUUCCGUUGCUUAGAUUUCAGACAAUAGUCAGCUUUUGGUUUGCCUCCGUUUUCUCUAAGCACUUGGGUUGGACGAUCACAUAUCACUGCUAAGUCCAUGCGUGCCUUGUCAUUGUCUUUCGUUUUAUCAGGGAAAUCCAUGCAUGUAUUUAUGAGGGCUUGACAAAAGUUACUCUCUUUAUGCAUGACGUCGAUGUUGUGCAUCAAAAUCAAUGACUUAGCAUAAGGAAGCUCCCGCAAGCCACAUAUGUGAGUCCAGUUAUGCUCCUCACCAAAACCUUGAUACCUUUUCCCACUCUCGUCUAGGACAAGUUUCAUAUGCUCUUCUGUAAUUUCUAUCCCACUACGUUGCUUGGGCGGUUUCGUGACAAUGGUGCCCUUCCUAAAUUCCUUUCUCUGCCUUCUGAAGGGGUGAUUGAAGGGUAGAAAACAUCUAUGGCAAUCAAAGUAACAUAUCUUGCCACCAGCACUAAGACGAAAACCAUCUGUAUCUUUAGCACAAUAAGGACACGUCAAUCUACCAUGCACGCUCCAUCCAGAGAAAAUACCAUACGCCAUAAAAUCAUGAACCGAGAAUAGAUAUGCAACACGAAGAUUGAAUUUCUGCUUCUUGAAGCAGUCAUAGGCUUCCACACCUUGCCAUAGCUUCUUUAACUCUUCAAUCAGUGGUUGAAGCAUCACAUUGAGGCGUACGCCAGGAUGCUCAGGCCCAGGUAUAACAAGACAUAGGAACAUAAACUCAUAUUUCAUGCAAAGAGCAGGUGGAAGGUUGUACGGUAUGGCAAUGACAGGCCAACAUGAAUACGACGCAGCGGUCAUAUUGAACGACGUAAAACCAUCAGUUGCCAAGCUGAUACGAACGUUUCUUGCAUCGCUGGCAAAAUCUGGAUCAAAUUUGUCAAAAGCCUUCCAUGCAUCACCAUCUGACGGGUGCACCAUUAACCCAUCUUGUCUGUCCGUACAAUCUUUAUGCCACCUCAUGUGCAUAGCGGUCUUCCUCGAGAGAAACAAAUGUUUCACUCUAGGAGUGAGAGGCAUGUACCGAAGCUGUUUAUGUGCAACCUUUGUCACCACCUUCUGCCCAUCUUCAUUUACAAGCUCCACGUACCUCGACUUCCCACAUUUUAAGCAUUUCUGUUCUCUGCCAUGUUCCUUCCAAAAAAGCAUACAUAUGUCUUGGCAAACAUCAAUCUUCUCAUACUCCAUACCAAGACCUUCAAGCAAUUUCUUGGACUGGUACAUGUCUUUGGGCAUCUUGUGACCCGUAGGAAGAACCUCGCUAAUCAAAUCCACAAGCUCCUUGUAACAAUUAAUUGAGAAUGCAAAGUUGGACUUGAUUGACAUCAGCCGGGUCACGAAUUCGAGUACGGUCACGUCAGUGUGCCCGUGAAGAGGCUCUUCUGACGCUUUGAGUAGGUCGAAGAACUUCUGAACCUCCGGUGUAGGUGAAUCAUGAUGAUCUGGUGCUAGUUCAGGCUGCAGAUCCUCAAGCAUCUGGUCCAUCCUAUCAACAUCAUCUUCACCAUCAUCAACUUCUACUUCUGUUGCUCGUUCAACAUCUUCACCGUGGAGAUACCAGACCUUAUAGCCUGGCACGAAACCAUAUUAGCACAUGUGUAGUGUGACCUGCCUCUUGGUGUGGCUCGUCAUAUUUCUACAUUUAUUGCAUGGACACCUAAUAUUAUCUAUUUGUGACAAAGCAGCUGCAUGGUCCAGAAAUAUCUGCGUCUUGGCAAACCAUUCACUUGUGUGACACCCACCCUUCUUGAAACCUUCAUACAUCCAAUCAUGUCUAUCACCCAUUAUUGCGGCUGUGUGUACGAGUAAAGAGCGUGUGUGAGACAAUCACGUUUCUACACGUCACACAUACAUCUAUAGAUAAGUAGUAAAACUAUAUAUAUAUAAAUAACUAUAUAUAUACAUAAAUAACAUUAAAUUUAUCAAUAUCGAAACAUUCAUACAACCUAAUAUUAUAAGUUAAAUCUAAUUAUUAAAUAACAUCAAAUUCAACAAUUCAAUAGCAUAAGUUAAAUCUAUUAUAAUAAUAGAAUUAAUACUUACCUAACAUCAAGCCACACAUGUGAUAUUAAACUAACUCUAAUCACACUCUAAUCACAUGUGAUAUUAAACUAACUCUAAUCACAUGAAAGUUAACUCCCGUCGGCCAUAAAAAACCGACGAAAAUAAGCAUGUAUACACAAAUUUAACAAUCGCACUCACAUUUACAUUCAACAAUCGCACUCGCAUUUACAUUCAAUAAUGCAUAAAGUCAUAUGAAAACUAAGAACACUAUAAAUUAACAAUUUUAAAAUAACUCUAAUCACAUGAAAGUUAACUCUCGUCGGCCAUAAAAAACCGACGAAAAUAAUCACAUACUUAUUUACAUAUAGAUAGGAUUAUACCUCAGUGGCUGACCGGCGCGUCGGGGCACGAGCGGACGGUGGACGACGGCGGGCUGGGGACGACGACGCUCGGGGUACGAGGAGCUCGGGACCUUAGGGUGGCACUCGGGUGGCGGCGGUGGCGCUCCGGGGCGGGCCGAGGGCGGAGGCGGCGCUCGAGCAGGGCGGCGGCGGCGCUCGGGCGGGGCGGCCUCGGGCAGGGCGGCCUCGGGGCAGGGCGGCCUCGGGCAGGGCGGCGGCGCUCGGCCAGGGCGCCGCUCGGGCAGGGCGGCGGCUCGGGCGGGGCGGCUCGGGAGGGGGAGGGGGCGGCCUCGACGGCGGCCUCGGGCAGGGCGGCGCUCGGGCAGGGGCGGCGCUCGGGCAGGGACGGCGGCGCUCGGGGCGGAAGUUUGACCGUUGAGUGAACGGAGAAGGAAUGAGCCCGCGCGUCUGCGGCCUGGCUCUAAAAAGAUUAAUCCCCGUCGGCUAGAAUACGGGGCCGACGAGAAUUAACUAAUUCUCGUCGGCCAGAACACAUGGCCGACGGGGAUUAGUUAAUCCCCGUGGGCUUGGGACGAGGCCGACGGGAAUUAAUAUAAUGUCCGUCGGCUAUUUGGUGGCCGAAGGGAAUUAGUCUAUUCUCGUCGGCUUUCGCUCUGGCUGACGGGAAUUACCCUGGCCGACGGGAAUCAGUAGAAUUCAUGUAGUGAUCACGUUUAUCACCCAUUAUUGCGGCUGUGUGUAUGAGUAAGAAGUGUGUGUGAGACAUUCAUGUUUCUACACGUCACACAUACAACUAUAGGUAAGUAGUACAACUAUAUAUAUAUAUAUAUAUAUAUAUAUACAUAACAUCACUACAGUUAACUCCCGUCGGCCAUAAAAAUCGAUGAAAAUAUUAACCAUAACAAUAUUAAAUAAAUUGUAAUUGCAUUACAGUUAACUCCCGUCGGCCAUAAAAACCGACGAAAAUAAACAAUAUUUGCAACAUUAAAUCCAUUAAAUUAAAUAAUAUUUUCAGAACAUCAAAUUUAUUAAUUAUAACAUCAAAUUUAUCAAUAUCGAAACCUUCAUACAUCCUAAUAUUAUAAGUUAAAUCUAAUCAAUAAACAAUUAACAAUUUUAAACUAACUCUAAUCACAUGAAAGUUAACUCCCGUCGGCCAUAAAAAACCGACAAAAAUAAACAUCUACACACAUAUUUAACUAUUAUAAUCACACUCGCAUUCACAGUUAAGGAUCUAUACCUCAACGACAAGGCGGCAACGGCGCUCGGGAGGCGGUCGGGGCCGGCGGCGGCACUCGGGGAGGCGAUCGGAGACGACGGCGGACUUGGGGGCUGCAGCGGUGCUCGGAGAGCCGAUCGGGGCGAUGGGCGGUGGUGGAGGAGGCCGGCGGGGGAGGCGUCGGCCUAGAGGCUAUUGCGGCGGCAGCGGGGUCUGGCAGGGGCGGCGCGGUGGCCGGCCGGCCGGUUGGGGCGGCGCGGGGCUGGUAGGGGAGGCGCGACGGCGGCGGAGGAUGGGGCAGGCGGCGACGGCUGGGGCGGUUGGGGCAGGCGGUGGCACUCGGGGAGGCGCGGCGACGGUGGCGGUUAGGGCAGGAGGCAGCGACAUCGGCUGGGGCAGGAGGUGGCGGCGCGGCCAGGAAGACAGAAAGAAUGAGCCCGUGCGGGUUCACCCGUGCUCAUAAAAGGCUAAUCCCCGUCGGCCUGCGCUCUGGCCGACGGGAGUUAAGUAAUCCACGUCGGCCUACGCUCUGGCUGACGGGAGUUAACUUAACGUCCGUCGGCCUAUGCUCUGGCCGACGGGCGUUAAAUUAUUCCCAUCGGCUGAGAUUUAACCGACGGGAGUUACAUUAUCCCCGUCGGCUUUGUCCCUGGCCGACGGGAAUUAACCUGGCCGACGGGAAUCAUUAGGAUUCCUGUAGUGUCUGACCUGCUUGUAACCCCUACUACGAGCAAUUAGGUGCCGGUAGCGAUAGCACGAGCAAUCGAAGACUGCAAGUAGGGUCAUUCUGUAUAACUUUCUCAUCCACCGACCAAACAUAAAAAAGGGAUAUACAAAUUUACUCGUUGGUGCUAGUUCGAAACAAUGACAAUAUGUAUGUAUAAAAACCUAUAACACAAUAUGUUUCUAAUAUGAGUAUUUAACGUAUGGAGGAUGAGAUAUAAAGGACAAUGCUAGAGGUAUAUAAAGCUGAAAGAAACCUAGAACUAAGCUAUAGCAAACAAGUUAUUAGACCAUGCUCAGCAUAGCGUGUAUAUAGAUGUACAAAAUAAUAUUUUGCGUUAUAGACUAUAUUGUUUAAACAAGUGGAGUUUAAAACAGAGAGUGAUAAGAGUUGAGACAACAUCCCGCUUUUUUCUGGCUUUGUCUGGUCGGAACACCUACUCCGCUCGUAUCCCGUGACGGGUGAGCCCCACACGGUGCCCAACCACCGUUGUUGGAGAAUCCGUUGGUGGUGGAGGAGGCGAGAGAAGCGUAGGCGCUCAUGGCCAUUCGUGGAGGCGCGUCAUCGCCCGUCGGCGGUCGCUGCGUGUCACCCAUUGUUGUGCUUCGUUAGCACGAUCCCACCCUCGCCUUUGUGUCCGCCUCGAAGCCAUGGCGGGGGUACGGUUGGGGUCGACGGUGUGGCGGAUCAGCCUGGGCCUCGACCGCGUCAGGGGGGAGGUGGAUCGACCUCGUGGGCGACGACGCCGAGGGGUGAGCGGGGCUGUGCCUGCACGGCGAUGGGUGGGAGCGGGGUGGUUGCGCGAAGGCGGGGACGGGGGAGGGGGCGGAGCACGGUCGGAUCGCACGUGGAUGAAGCCAACAGUCUAGAUUCACAGAUGGCAGAACCAAAGGAGGUAGGCUACCCUUAUAGCCUUAAUAAGUAUAUAUAUAUAUAAAUAUAUAUAUAUAGAGAGAGAGAAACAUGCUCUCCUCUAUAUAUCUAUAUGAGGCUAACCAGCAAAGACAUGUAAAGGAUCAUGAACUCUAUUUUUAGGGGAGAUUUUUCUCUUAUAUUUCUCCAAUAAUGUCCUCUAAACAGUGAUAUAAACAUAGAGAAAGUUAUUCCAUCCUAUAUAUACACAUGACAAGUAUUUACUAGGGGUGAAAUCAUUCUUUUACCCUAACUUGAUCUAUAAAAGGGGAGGGCUGGCCUCAGAGGAGGGUCCCCGAGAUAGAAAAAACCAUACGAUACGAGAAGACAAAGAACCGCUAGCAAGAUAAGGAUAGCCUUUAGACCAACAACACAUAGAGACAUAGGAUCUUUCCCUCUCUCACCUGCUUGUAACCCCUACUACGAGUAAUUAGGUGCUGGUAGCGAUAGCGCGAGCAAUCGAAGACUGCAAGUAGGGACAUUCUGUAUAACUCUCUCAUCCACCGACCAGACCUAAAAAAGGCAUAUACAAAUUUACUCGGUGGUGCUAGUUCGAAACAAUGACAAUAUGUAUGUAUAAAAACCUAUAACACAAUAUGUCUCUAAUAUAAGUAUUUAAUGUAUGGAGGAUGAGAUAUAAAGGACACUGCUAGAGGUAUAUAAAGCUGAAAGAAACCUAAAACUAAGCUAUAGCAAACAAGUUAUUAGACCGUGCUCAGCAUAGCUUGUAUAUAGACGUACAAAAUAAUGUUUUGCGUUAUAGACUAUAUUGUUUAAAAAAGUGGAGUUUAAUCUAGUGUUUGCUUGAGGAGCGGAGGGAAUGGAACGACUCCAUUCUUAUUUUUUUGAUGUUUGGUUACCAUGGAGGAGAGCGGAGCGGCUCCUGAAGUUUAUAAAUAGCAAAUAUUUGGAAUGCUCUCGCUCCACCAAAACGACUGGAUGCGAGCACUCUCAUCCCUCUCCUCCACUCAACAGUCAUAUGGCUCUCCAACCAAAUAAUAAACGGAACGGCUCCGCUCUAUUCUACUCUUCAACCAAACAAAAAAUGGAACGGUUCCGUUCUGUUUGACGAACACAGAAUAAAAUGGAUCAAUUCUUAGAAACUAAAAUAGAGCCGCUUGAUCCCAGUUGGCUCUCCAACCAAACCCAGAUUUAACAUAAAGAGUGACUAGGUGGGUGCCCGUGCGAUGCCACAGAACACAAAUUGCGAGCCUCUAACGGACUUAGAGCCCUGGCAGAGCUCUAGGUACGUGCUCGUGCGUUGCCACGAGACAAGAAAAAUGCCCGUGCAUCGUGAUAUAAUACCCAUGUAUUGUGACGGCGACAUAAUUACUCACUUCCAGUGGCAUAGAGGAGCAUCUAGGGCUAAUGGAUCCAAACAAGUUGUUAUCCAAGCAAACAUUAUGCAAACAUAGGCAGACAUUCCCUAAACUCACGCCAGGCAGAGAAUCAACUAACAUGCUCACAUAAUUUUUACAGGCACCAAAAACAAAAUCAUUUCAAAAAAUACAUUCAACAUGAACCCAACAAAAUCGCAAAAUCAUUGCCACGAGAGUUAAAAAUUAGUAUAAACCAUAGAUACGGAACGACAAAUAUCACUAUGAUAUACAAAAUCCGUGUGAUAAAAUAUUACUGUACCACUAAUAUUAUAUUGACGAUAUAAAUAUAUAAUAUUAUUAUAAAUACGCCAACUCAAAUAGAAUAAAAUGAUAUCGAACAAACAUUAUAAGAAGUUGAACAACCAUGUCAAAACAUUUAUGCUUGAAUACUGCUAAGUACAAUUCAAGGAACGGAUAACAAUCUAUUCUCAUGAAAUGAAAUCAAAAAGGGGUAACACAUACAGACACCCGACCGGACUUCAGAAACUUAAACCAACAAUGGAACUCCCCACCUCUCGUCAAGCUGAGCACCCGCCCUAUCAACCACACGUCUUUGACCCCUUUUGCUACGACCCUGCAAACUGAACAUGUAAACUAUUACCAAUUGCCUCUACCUACACUCUUCAUAUAGACAACUCCACUCCUAGAGUAUGGUCAUGUUGCAACAAUCAUUUAUGGUCACAGACGUUCUGGUUAAACAUUUCAUGUCUUUGGGUUGCAAUGUACAAAGUCUCAGCUCCAGCGCCAUGUGUACUAUCAGUCAUAUUUAAUAAAAAAAUGGAAUUGCAAGCUAUUACCACUUCAGUCCAAAAACAUAUGCAUGUUUGAAGUAGCAUCUAAAUUGGGAUAUGGAAUCAUGCUAAUAAACAAUAAUUCAAGUUACUGGAAAUCCUAUGACAAAAUACACUUCUAAAAAUCUAAGCAACAAUCUUCAAAAUGAGAAUUUCCCUUGCCUUCAAUUUUACGCUCUCAAGUUCCAAAUUAUCAAAGUGCACUUUCUUCAAAGCAACAAUCUUCUCCUUUUCAAGAUCACGGGCUCUGUAAACAUUACUAUAUGUACCCUGACCAAUAUGAAUAAACCAAAGAAUAAUUCUUGAAAACAAUUUCCAAGGCAAUAAAAUUUACAUGUGGCAAUCCUCACAGUGAGUUAUUUCCAUCGGAAGUACCCCUCAGGCCCUCACAACACUCAUGAACACAUCUGAGCACAUAAUCUCAAUAAUUCAGUCCAAACCAAAUUCUAGAAAUGGUUUGAAGUAUAUCAGCCAAAUAACAGUUCUCGCCUUUCACAGUUCAAUGUCUAGACUUUAAGUAUGAAUCCAGAACAGAGCAAACAGAAAAAUACUAUUUGUUAUAUUGUCGCCUUAUUUCCAGAAAUUCAGCAAAAUCGAGCAGUCUUUGCCGCUCUUAGCAGAAAGGAAUCCUUUUGUAUCUCGAACUUCAAGUGCUUCCAGUACUUCUAGAAUGCCAAAUCUCCUGCAAACAAUAUUUCAAGGUCAAAUAGAUCGCCACCAGGAAGUUAUGUUUGCCCAUAUUGCAAAACGCUGAUGUUUCAUACUAAAUUACUAACUCACAUUGUCCUCUGAAAAAUUGUUCGAACUGAUUCCAAGCUCUUCCAGGCGCGGUGGUGGUGAUGUGAGCCUUUGUGGCCAGGGAAGUAAUUCGUUGCCUUUAGCCUUAUUAACUUAGUCCAUUCUUAUGAGAAUUAAUUUAGUCAAUAUGAAUACAAAAUUGAGUGAAUCGAUAGUAGGAAACCAUCAUUUUCUACGCCAUAAACUCUAUGAACCUUUUUAUCUUCUUCCGCGUAAUUUUUAUGAUACUCAGAUUCUCUAUAGCCAAUUCUCUCUAUAGUCAGAUUCUUCCUACAUUUAGAUUCUUAGAAAAGCUACUCGGAGAAAAGCUGAACCCAACAGUCAGCUAGAUUCUCGAAAAACUUCACAUCCUACCGACCAAAAAUCUGGGUGUGACAGUUGAGCCACUGACAAAGUGAAUAACGCAAGAGUUUUGCGAAAAAAUAUUAUUCACAGAACAAAGUGGAGAAUCGGAUUUAUAAAAAAGUAAAGAAAGAGAACUAUACUGACUAUGUAAUAUGUAUAUCAAAAGGGCUGAAGCCUGUGUCUGAAGCUGAUAUUAAAUCUACUGUUGACAUUUCACCACAUGAGAAAACAGAAGGCGUCGAAUACUACAUUACAUUUGAGGAUUAGGACAACGCCGGUGUAGAGUUAGCUACAGUUAGGAUCAAAACAAGAGAAACGGCUGCUACGACAGAUCUUGCACCGAGUGAUUCCAGAGCUUUUUCCUCACGAUCAAGACUGUUUCGUCACCUGUCGUGAGCGCAUCUUUCUUAGGCCUCAUCUCAAACGUCCAAUCGUCCCACCUUAGCGCUGGUAAAAGUUUCUUGAUGUAGGUACCGACAUCAACUUUGUCUCUGAUGAUGGCGUAACCAUAAGGCCUUAGGAUGCGGUCCAUCUUGAUCAGAAGAUCCUCCAGGCUACAUCCCUGCUUCUCUAUCUCAGAAAACAGGAGCCAGGCAUGAAGGAGGUCGUAGGUGCGCGGGUAUGUCGAGAAUGAUUCACACCUUCAGUUAAACAGGUCAUAAAUAAGGAAAAUUAGCAUCAGCCAGCCCUGUGUAACGGGAAGUAAGGCAGACACAGACACACAGGACAAUGCACAAGAAAUUUCUUCAGUAGUGAAGAGGUUAGAAAUGAAAAGAAUGGUCUUAAAAACUGGAAAGAAGCAACAGAAUGGGGGCACCUAUAUCAGAUAUGUUGACAGGCCUCAUUUUUUGCGAGGACCCAUGUUUCUCGGUUUUGUUUAAUUAUAAUAACAAUAACAACGCAGGUAAUCUUAUAAUGGGCAGAAGUAUUGGCCUCAAGGCUCAAACACUACAUCCAUAUUCCAAAAUAUGACAGCCAAACUACAUCAAUUUCUGAAAAACCAUGUUUACACGCGGUUGCAUCUUAGAAAUCAAACAAGAUAAUAUCACUCCCUUCCACACGAGUUAAGAAUUUUAUAUGGACAACCAUGAGAAAACAAUUUGUGAAUUUAUUUAUGGAUAAUUAAUUGCAGACUAUAGUCACAAUGAAACUCUUAUCUGUAUAGCACAAGACAAAACAAAUGUAAUAGUUCUAAUUUCUAGGGAUGCAAAUUCCACCUUGAAACAGUAAAAAAAUAGAUGGGAAGUAUGUCAAAAAAAACCUUACCAGUCAUGGGUAGUCCCCAUUAAACCACGAUCAUAUAUAAUUUUCAGCUUUCCAGAUUCCGUGAAAGGAACUACAUUCAUAACCCAGACAUUCUUUUCUUCAGAGAUGCUGCAAAUCCACCAAGGUUAGCACUCAUAUUCAUAACGUUUCGAAAGGAAUCCUUUUGUAUCUCGAACUUCAAGUGCUUCCAGUACUGAAUUACUCUAGAAUGCCAAAUCUCCUGCAAACAAUAUUUCAAGGUCAAAUAGAUCGCCACCAGGAAGUUAUGUUUGCCCAUAUUGCAAAACGCUGAUGUUUCAUACUAAAUUACUAACUCACAUUGUCCUCUGAAAAAUUGUUCGAACUGAUUCCAAGCUCUUCCAGGCGCGUAUGAAUCCAGAACAGAGCAAAUAGAACAAUACUAUUUGUUAUAUUGUCGCCUUAUUUCCAGAAAUUCAGUAAAAUCGAGCAGUCUUUGCCGCUCUUAGCAGAAAUUAUUUACUAUUUGUAAUUAAACAACAUUUGCAGGGAAAAGACAAAAGUAAUACGAAAAGUAGUGGUCUAGAGUUUAAUUUCAUUUCUUGUAAAAGACCAAACUUAUAUCAGUACUCGACCACAUGAAACCAUAACGUAGACCAUCACGAGAACAUGGAACAGUGAAAAAAACCUGACCAUCAGAGCGGAACCUAGUACACUACAAAUGUAGGAUCUUAAUACCAUAGAUGUGGUGCUUCUACCUCUCAAAUGGAAAUGCAUGUGUGUUAGUGGAUUUGAACAUAUAUGCACUGAAUAGUUUAGAUAUGGCCAGUAGGCACAUCAUAAAACAUGUUGAUCUUGCUUGCCUAGUAGAAUAGCAAGGAAAAACACUUCACAAUAACAAUGUAUACUACCUCCAUUUUUAUUUAUUUGACGCCACUUUAUUCAAUUUUGUACUAACCGGCAACAAAUAACAAUGAAUGGUGGGAGUACCUAUAUAAGAAAUUAUAUCAUGUUUAAUGAAAGACCCAACAAUUGCAUUUGACAUUACUCUUACCCAUAACCUGUACAAAUACACGCCUUUUCUUCUCUGUCGUCAAACCUUUGUGUAAGCCUUGAAACACUUCAUUCUUUGGCAGAGAAUAUUUCAAAUGAUAAAUUUUCCCUGUUACAAGAUCAAGUAUCUUCCAACCACCCUUUCAACAAGGAGUUAAUCUGGAACCUAUAACAAUAAAGAAUGGAUUAAAUGCACAAAUUCUUCAUUCAUGAAAUCUAGAAAAGGUGAAUAAAUUGUUAUUCACAGUGAUGCUCUUUACUGAUUCUUGGCAGACAAAUAGGGCAUCACUGUGAAUCAGAUUCAUUUAUUCAGAAAAAAACUAAAAAAGAAUAUAUGCAAGUCAUAUGCCAUACAAGUUACUAAGAUAUGUGAUUGUCCCAACUACUACACCCUGAAUGGCUGAAUCAAACCAGCACAAGUAUGAACUAUUAACAUUUAGGUGCAUAAAAAAAUUGGUAAUUUUUUAUCAUCACAAAGGUAUUCGGAUGAAUCUUUCCAUUAGGACGACAACAAACCAGCAGACGAAUUAGCUGGUCAUGGAGUGCCGGCAUUGGCUCCAAUCACCUGGUGCGUUGCUGGAGACCAGAGGCUUCGCUGGUUGGACCACUUCCACUCACACUCACAUCUGAGUUGGUUGCAAUAGGAGCACCCGCUAUGGUUGGGGCCCUCCGUUCUGUCGGACCCGCUUCAGAAGGAAGGCCACAACUAACAUGAAGGUUGAGUCAGAUAAGAAAUCUUUGGCUGUGGGACUGGUUACCGGUGGCAUGAUGGAAUCCUAGGGCUCUUUGUCCCUGUGCUCCCGGAAGACCUUUCAUGGUGGCGUGGGAGGUACCUGAAUGGAGAGGGCAGCCACGGCGACACGAUGGAGGUGGCUAUGGAGCUGGCGCUCCUCGAACACGUUCCGCGUGGUGCAGCGCGUGUGAUCUCCCUCGCGCUGGACCCCCACAGGGACACCUGCAAAAGCGAAAAAACAAUAGAAAGAUAGAGAGCGAGGGAGGGAGCUACGGAGGGCGAGAGGAAGGAGCCGGGGACUGUCACACACACAAAAAGAUCCUCACCCAACAUGCAGAGCUUCACACGAGUGGCCUUAUCCGCGACACCCCAUGUCUCGAGGGCCCCAUCCCCGACAAUCCGCUCGGCUGCCGCCUCGAGCAGCAACAGCCCAAUCGUGCCCCACUCAUUGACGAUGCCCCCAUACCCGUACAAAUCGUCCUCUUCACAAGAGGCGUCGUGGCGCUGGUGACUGGGAGGCCACAUAGGGGCGAUGAAUGUUGCAUGGAAGAAGUCGCAUGGAGUAAUCGGGGAGUCAGAGGCAAGCAUCGGAGGAGGAGCCGUGACGGUGGGUGCAUGUGACGAUAGAUAACCGCAGUGUGCCCGCUGCACGAAAUCGCAAAAUCGUGAGGUCGUUACUUUGUUAGAGGGGUAGGGUGAGACUCCGUCCAGGACGGGAUUGAGGCGGCGGCGGCGAGGAGGAGGAGGAGCUGGAUGGAUACCUGCGGGGGCGGGACGGUCGCCUCCGAAGUCGGAGGAGUCGGCCCUCACCCAGUGCAUCUGCUUCGGUUGCGCAGCUGCUGCAUCCUUUCCCUUGUCUCCUUGUCCUCGCUCCAGCUCCCCAGUCUACGCGCCUAUCUUCGUGAAGGAACUGGACACGGCUGCGACCGGGAGGAUGAGCCCUGUACCGGCGGUUGGAUGGCAGCCGGGGGCGGCGAGCGGUGGACGGCGGGGAGUCUGGCAGGUGGGGGAGAGGGGAUCAGAUGAAGCAGAGAAGUCAGAGCAGGAGGAUGAAAACAGUAUCGCCCCACGGUCGGUCCAAACGAAACGACCACGACCGGAGACACACGCGCGACCUCGCCCACCCUGCCUCCCACGAUGGGCGCCAUCAGCGGCGAGAUGGAUGGGUAGCGUAUGGGAGCGCGGGGUCGCCGCGGGAUGCAAGGAAGAAAGUCGGCGCGGUUGAGGGCGAGAUGCAGGGAAGACGGCGCGGGCUCGCGGGCGGGAUGAUGCACGGAAGACGGCACGGGCGGGGGCGGGAUUGCAGGAAGGAAGACGGCGUGGGUGGAGGCUGGAGCGGGGGCACGGUGAGGUCGGUGGACGCCCUCGCUCGAGCCUCAAGGUGUAGUAGAGAUAAGAGUUGAGACAACAUCCCGCUUUUUUCUGGUCGGAACACCUACUCCGCACGUAUCCCGUGACGGGUGCGCCCCACACGGUGCCCAACCCAACGCCGCGCCCACGCCGUUCACGCGCGCACGCGGUACGAGACACCGCUGGGUGCCAGACUGCCAUUGCCUGCCACACGCAGGGACGAACCACACGGGCCCGUUUCUCUCGUGGCGUUGUCCUGCGCGCCCGCCCGCCCGCCAUGUUGAUUUUCCCAGCGCGUGGACCUCCCGCUCCCGCGACGCGCGGCCCGUUUUUGGGAGCUUCGAAAAUGGCGAACUCCCCCUCCCUUUCGCAGACGCCGCCCCCUCCCGUUCCCGUCCCGAUCCGACGGCACCGCCCGUACAUACAAUAAUAAUAUGCAUGCAGAUCCGCUCCCUGGCCGCCAGACCCCCACCGUUCCAUGCGGCGUUCGUACGUCCACUGGCUGUACCAUGUUGGGCUGCUUUGGGUCCGUAGGCCACCCAACCAAAGCACGUAGGGAGGUGAAGAUUGAGAUUGGGAAAGCUACGCUAAACCUAAUGUAUAAACAUAAAUACGUUAAUUAAUUGGAUUGUGUGUCUUAAUUGGUCGUAUCCCUAAAUAAAAUUGAUAUUGGGAAAGCUACGCUACAUCUGGACCCCGCUCCCUGCCUGGCCGCCAGAACCCCCCCCCCCCCCCCCCACCCCCACACACACACACACACACACCGUUCCAUGUGACGUUCGUACGUCCACUGGCCGGCUGGACCACGUCGUCACCAGCUUCAGGAAUAUAAUGCACCGUGCUGCCAUUGCCAACGAACCCUCGGUUUGCAAGAAAACGGCACAUGGAAUAAUGGUGAUCGAUCUUUGAUGCUGUAUUUCUAUUUGUUGACGUAUUUAUUUGUGUUUAAAGUUUGAACCCUUUGAACUGAAUUGUGAUGUCAUAUAUAUGCCGCACUACUGUCGUUUAUGAUCUACUCCAACUCAUUGUGUCAGAACUCAGAAGCUGAGAACUAGACGGUGUGAUGCUGCAUGUAUAUAUGUGUUUUUGUUUGUGUCAACUGUCUAUUGGUGGUGUCAGCCUGCUAGCUACUACUAUUCUUGUUUGUGCCACUGGCACCUACUAUACUGUGAUUUGUUUUAUAUUUUAAAAAAGUACAAAAAUGCGUAAUUUGUGUAAUACGUACGUACCGCGGACACGGUCUACAUGCAUGUACACUGUUUCUCGCCAACUGUUCACCGUACGUGUGGACCGUCUACAAAAAACAAAAAAAAAUCGCUAGUUGUAAUUUUUUUAAUACUUCCACGACUGGACCAUUGACGUACACAAGAAAAAUAGUCUGUUGUCUUGUGGGCGGGAUAAUCGAGGAGAGAAUCGCUGACCCGGUCUGCUUAACUGUAUGCAUGCAUCUUCCCUCUCGUCAAGUACAUAAUGAUACGUACAUAUUCAAAUAGGAACGUGGUCACGUACGUUCGCUGUAAUGGGAACGCGACGGGGCGCCAGCCGUCCCCGAAAGACGACAAUGGGACGUGACAUCCAUGAUAGUAAGGUUGUAUCUAGUAUAUAUAUAUAGUCGUGUAAAAUAUUAUGUUGUAUUGUAUAUUGUAAUGUUUGUAUAGUAAAAUUUGAAUAGCAGAUUAGAUAGGAGAAGAUAUAAUACGUAAAUGGUUGGAGACAGCCUAAGCAUAUUUGGGAAGAAAACACACCCGUCGGCACCAAUUAACGAGGGGUGUGCGUCUCGCGACGCAUGGUUUAUUAAUUUAGGAGUGGAUUGAAGAGUCGUUUUAGAUAAAAUUAAACCCCUUGCUAGUCUAUAUUAACUUAUUAAGGUUGUCAAAAAAAUUGAACAGAAACAAAUUUAAUCCUCUUAAUUCUCUUAGAUCCCAAGCCACUAUUAGGGCAUGUACAGUAGAGAGACACCAAAACGGUUCUCUAAGCACAGGAGACAACCAAGAGACUGUAUUGUACAAUGGAGUGUCUACAAACGUAGUCUAUUAAUAAAUACAGAAUUAAAUGUAUUUGUAUAGCAUCAGAUCGAUAGAACAGACGACAAAUUCGUACAGUGGGAAAUGAGGCGUCUGUUGCUACUUGGUUUACGAGCCAGAGGCGUCUCUUCGCGGAGAGACGGCUCUAAGAUUUUUUUGCAAAUAACCCCUUAAACACCUUAAGAGCCUCCACAUUAAACACGACUGUACAUGCCCUUAGGCUUCAUGUUAUGGCUGCUGCAUGGUGCUCGGCGUUGUCCGAUACUACUCCACCGAGAGCAGAGGCGUAGGAAUUACGAGGCUUCAUGUUGCAUUCAAGGACUUGUCAUUUUAGUAAACCAGGACCCAGGAUUAGAAAACUAAACUAGAUAGGCUGUAGGUUGCUCUGCUCUAGUCUAGCAGGAGGAGUUCAGCACUCUAGUCUGCCGAUAAAAUAUUUGCCGAGUAUUUUUUGUUAAGUGUAAAAUAGACUUUGCCGAGUGUUUUAGACAUCGGCAAGAACGCGAUUCCGGUAGUGCGUGUUCCAUUUAGGGGUGGUAAUGGAUCACGAUCUAAAUGAUUUUCUUCACAAAAUGAUAGAGCUCUAAAUAAAUUUUAAUUAAAAAAAUGAAUAGACGAUUGGAUGAAGGAUUGGAUGAAGCGUAAAAUUGAAAACCCUAGUUCCAUUGGAUGAAGCAAGCUGCAGCUCUACACGAAAAUGCCGACAGAUAAGGUCCAAGUUUGCACUUCUUCUUGUGCGACUGCCAUGGGCCCCACAGCACCUACUCACGUUGCUCCAACUUCGGUUACAAAAUCCCGCGUGCGUCACCCAGCGAUUUUUUUUAUUCUUAAUCCAUUUUAAAAGAAAUUCUAAAAAUAAUUCCACCAACAAUAAAUUUCUAGAUCUGAUCUAGUUCACCGCGCUAACUCUCUAGCUAGUACGGCAAAAAAUGCACUUUCACGUGCUAAGUUUAAUAUUGUCGGCAUCUUUUUUUGGGGCCAAAUAUCGUGAACCCUGAUGCUAAAUAUACAUGACUUUGAGAUCGGCUCUGUGAGGUAGCGGAUGCCAGACCGUCCAUAAUAAGUUAUCGGACCGUCGACGAUAGGGUGUCGGACUGUUCGCAAUGGCACAGAGAGUUCUCGGGUUAACGUAUAUCUUGUCUCCCGGGAGGACCUCUAUUGGGGAGGAGAGAUCGUAGGGCCGCUUUGGGUCCGUAGGCCACCCAAAGCACGUAGGGAGGUGAAGAUUUAGAUUGGGAAAGCUAAAGGCUACGCUACAUCUAGACCUAAUGUAUAAACACACACACACUAUUCGUCAGCUUCACCGAGUUAGUAAUAAUCGAUUAUUACUGAACUAGCUUCAGUAAUAAUCGAUAAUUACUGAAACGGUCUUCAGUAAUAAUCUAUUGUUACUGAGUGGGUGAAGCUUCACCUACGGUGACAAAUAGCGCUCCUAGCCUGAAUUAAUCUAAUCAUGGACCGUUCGGCCUACUCCUGCGGACUGUCCGGACCAUAAGGCCGGACCGUCCAGGUGCUAGAUUUAGUGCUCAACAUAAGCCCCUACCUUUUGGUGGAGGUCACCAACCAAAAGCACGUGUACUACCAUCGUCUUUCGAGAAACAAUAGAUUUCACAAAUCGUCUUGUUUCCGAAAUAAGAACUCUAGCCCGAUGCAAGUCACCAGCUCUUUGAACCAAAUAGCCCAUUAAAUAGAGCUCUAAUUCAUAAAGGUUGUUUAGGAUUGUAUCUUCUUCGACCAUGACUAUCUGGUUAUAUGUCAAAAGGUACAAAACUAUGGUGCCCCAGCCCAAAUAAACAAAUGGACUAUACACAUAAUACAAAUUCAUUGCCGCACUAUCCCACACGUGAGCAACGCAAAACAUCAACGAUGAGUAGACCGGUGGAAAGUAUCAUGACGUCCCUAGAGACUGAUGAGUAGGCAACAUUGGUUGCACUACUUCUUGGGCCGGUUUAGUCGGCCUUUGCCCCUGCACAUAUUGCUUCCUUUUUGUGGACGAUCUUGAUAUUUUUGUUGACCGAUUGUGCGGAACAACCUUCUUACGUAUGUAUUUAGAAAGAAGUUGAUCAAAAGUAGGACUAACACUAAGGAGCCAACCAGAUGCUUUAGAUGUAUUUUGCGUCCACGUACCUUUUUUGGAUGUUGUGGUUUGAUGGUCAGGGGUCGCGGGUGUCUCUGGUCAUUCUCGGACCGUCCAUGUGUGGUUCGGACCGUUUAACCCUAGUGUCUAGACCGUCCAGCGCAUGGUGGACAAGCAAUCACGAUCGGGCUUCUGAUCGUGCUUUCCCCAUGGAGUCUCCUCCCCGUCAGGAGUCCUUUGGGACAUUUCUUUCUUGGAACAAAUGUGAGUUUUCUCAUCGAUUAUGCGAGGAUCACCGAUGACAAUGUUCUUGCCUUUGUCUUUAUCGACCACAUCCGGUCAAACUAAGACUUUCUUAUCUACUAAGUCUAAUAUGUUGAUAGGGAAAUGUUGCCUGUAAAUAUGUAUUUCCUGAAAGCUCAACCUACCUUCAUUUAUAGCCGAAUGUAUCUGCCGACGGAAGAUAUUACAAUCAUUGGUGGCAUGAUAAAAUGAGUUAUGCCAUUUACAAUAAGCACACCUUUUCAUCUCCUCCGUCAAGGGAAUUGUGUGAGACAUUUUAAUGUUGUCACACUUGGCAACAUUGAACAUGAACUUAACUUCUCCUUAUCGAUUCUUUUUAACCGGGUGUAGGGAAGACCAAGUCGGAAGUUUGGCCUUAGCGGGACAAAUAAGUUCAACGACACAUACUUAUUUUGGCUCGUCAUAUGAGAUACUACUGUCACAAUGCUCAUUAUGACAAGACGACUCUUGAAUUUAUUUGCUUUAGCCUUCAUAUCCCUAUUGUAGAUACUACUCUUGAAUUUAUGAGCUAGCGAAAAUAGGCACCAUCUAAUUUUCCUUUCAAGUAUGGACACAACCCAUUGAGAGCCAACUAUGCUAGUUGCUUAUCUAUGACCUAAAUUUUAAAAUAUCAGUUUCUAGUAUUUUGGAACCUCUGGAUAUAAUCAUUAACUAAUUCAUCAUAUCCCUAUUGUAGAAAUGAUAAAUUCGCUAACUCAUAUUCCCCGGAGUAAAAGUGAUCAUAGAAAUUUUAUUCUAACGCGCCCCAAGAGCUAAUAGAAUUAGGUGGCAAGGCAGCAUACCAUGUGAAGGCAGUACUAGUAAGGGACAAAAAAUAAACAAACGUGGAAAGCUUCUCUAUCGGCCAAUUCCUAGUUGUACUAAGAAAUGACCUAUGUGCUCAUGUGUGCAUCUACCACACUCAUCGGAAAAUUUGGAGAGAUCUGGUAUUCUAGUCCUUUGUGGGUAUGUGAUGGUAUCAAAUCGGUGAUCAUCAUGCUUCCGAUAUGAUGACUCUGACUUAGGCAUGCUAAUUCCUAACCUAUCUCGAAAUAAUUUGGCUAUCUCUUGAAUUUUAUCCAUAGUUGUCGGCGUUAUAGGACGAGACCCCGAAAACACGAAGCUUGGAUGGUCAGGCAUUGUUGUGUCGGUUGUCUGUAUGAGAGUAAUCUAUGGUGCGUGGUGGUGGGAACCCCUCUAUUUCCCUAUGUGUCGGGUGGUACUCUACCCUAGGUGCGGGAUUGCUUUGGUUUGAUGGACCGAAGGUUGUGGAGGGUAAUACUGCUAUACUGUGGAGUGUGGUUGCGUGUUGUCAACAUGGUGUCAGAUUACAUACUGCACAUCGGAUGGUCCGUGAUAAGUCAUAGGACGGUCCGACGACGUGCCAGACUGUCCGGGGUGGGUUACUGGAUGGUCCAACUGUGCUUAAAGGUGUUGUUGUGUCCAUUAGGUGUUGUGGAGGCAGCGACUGACUUGGGUAUGAGUUCACUAGCAUACCAUAUAAUAGCUAGGAUCGUUUAGGCCCAUUUGUUGUCGAUGCAUCUAGCGCUAAUUUUCUAUAGCAACAUCAUGAGAUGGAAAUCUGGGAGUGGUAGAUUUUUCGAAUGCAUGUGUGAUUCGACCACGCACCAUGAGAUGGUGUCUCUGUGCGGAUAAUCCUUGAGACGAAGGUCACCUUUUGAGAAUGUGAUUGGUAUGUGUCGGUAUUUGUGAUCCGACCACGACCAUGGGGUUACCCACGUGAUGCUUUUGGGUGAGACAGCGUCAUUGAUCGUGACUCGAUGGUUCGUUAUGUAACACGACGGGGUGACGCAUAGACUUAUACAGGUUCGGGUCGUGUAGAGUUGCGUAAUACCCUACUUCCUGUGGUGAUUCUAGUAUUGAUGUGAGGAUUACAAGCUGAGAGUUGUUGGUGUUGAAGGCUAAGAUGAGAUGAUAUGGUAGGUGUACCUCCUGGCUUUAUAUACGCGACUAGGGAGAGUUAUCCCAUACAUAUGAUAAUUGGUAUCUACUGGCUUAUCUCCUGGUUUGUAGCAGACUAUAUCCCUACACAUCCGAGUCCUUCUCGCCCAUUCGACCGAGCUACCGCUGAGGGCUUAGCCUGUUGGGUGAUCACAACUGUAGCGCCCGAUACAUCUGAGCCCCCUCAGCACUUAGCUCGGGCAUUGGUUUUCAUCGACUCGGACCAGACCUGCCGAGCCUAGCUACGUUUAGGUGGCCCAUCCUGUAGGACGAUCCACAAGAAAACCCGUCAGACGGCCUAGGACGCGUUUUAGUGUACAUGAGGACCCGGGGGAUAUCCACCCCACAGUAUGUGAGACCGUUUGGUCUUGAUGUACGGUCCUUGGACACCAACAUGUUGCACUCUUCUUUAAGUGUUUGACCUUUUUCUAAAACUUUGAGCACCCAUCUUAUUCAAAAUAUUUACUCGAAAAUGUAAAUUUUCAAGUCACACUCAAAUAACCUUAAGUAAUGUAACAAAUAACAACAAAAUAAAUAAUAACUCAAGAUUUUUUUUGAAUAACACGAUUGGUGAAAGUUUUAGAAAAAAAAUCAACAUCGUCAUAUAUUUGUGAACGGAUGGAGUAGUAUUUAUAAUAUAUUUUCUAAUAAACUUAUUUGGAGAUACAAGCAUUGCUAAUGUUUUGCAUAAUAGAUCUAGUCAAUUUUAGAAAGGUUGGCUGAUAUAGAUACCGUUGCGACAAAUAUUUACUAUUGGUUGUUGUCGCAUGCUCUAUUAAUUCUAGACGCACUUUUUGCUAGCUUGCUCAUUGAUCUUUCAUGUAUAUCACUACCGGAAUCCGACUCUAUAUCGAGUGCUCGGCGCUUUAUCGUGCAUUUUAUCGUCACUCGACAAAGCAUUCUUUGUUGAGUGCCGCUUUCGACGAACUCAGACUCUCGGUACAGACCUCGUUUGACGAGGGCGAAACACUCGGCAUAGAAAGACACUCGGCAAAGCAGGCUUUGCCGAGUGUCACACUCUUGACAAAAUGUGACGCUCGGCAAAGGGCUGUCCGCAAUCGUAUACUCGACAAAAAGUAUUCGGUAAAGAAGCCGUUGCCAACAUACAGUUCGCCGAGACUUCUUUCUCGAGAGUCACACUCGGCAAAAACUUUACCGAGUGUUUUCUAGUCACUCGGCAAAGCAACUGUUUCCAGUAGUGUAUAUAUAUAUAUAUAUAUAUAUAUAUAUAUAUAUAUAUAUAUAUAUAUAUAUAUAUAUAUAUAUAUAUAUAUAUAUAUAUAUAUAUAUAUAUAUAUAUAUAUAUAUAUAUAAACAGAUACACAACUUGCUAGUUGAUUUGUUUCACCGUAAACGUACAUCAAUUUUGCAUGGUUGUCAGAUAGCCUCGCUCCAUAUGGUUGCAGGCCUUAACUAACCCAUCUAUGAACUGCUACUUGUGGAGACAACACGCAUGUGUUCGUUGUGCUUUUGUGUCGACGAGGCGGCCGGGCUGUCGGCAUCUGCGGUAGGUCAUGGCGCGGUCAGCCCUCGAUCGAGCGCCGCCCAAGGUUUGCUGAAACGAAAGGAGAUCUCCCGAUGAUGCAUGCAUGGCGCGCGGCGUUCCUUUCCGCGUGCUUUCUUAGCUGCUUGAACAUACAUAUUAUUAUUAUUAUUAUUAUUAUUAUUAUUAUUAUUAUUAUUAUUAUUAUUAUUAUUAUUAUUAUUAUUAUUAUUAUUAUUAUUUGAGAUACGAUCGAGUUUCCUGCUUGUUCGUUCGUUCAUCUGUAUCUAUCCAGAGUUGAACACAACUAGCUACCCUAGACACAUGAGGCAAGCAUGUGUAGUACGUGUAUAUAUAUUUUUUUCAAUCUUCUGUUUUGUAUUGGCUCUAGUCUCGAUUGUUUGAAUUCAACUUGGACCCGAUGCAACUGCUCGCGCGAAUCCUAGACUGUUCUAAAGAAUUAAUACCUUUAAUUAGUAUUAGUUGGGAAGAGAGCUUUAAUCAAUUAGUCUUACAUUUUAAGUGCAUAUUAAAAACAAAAAAAUCUAACCGAAGCUAUGAGUCAGUUGUGUAUUAUUCCAUAUGUUCAUAUUAAUUUUAGGGCUUCAAAUAUUGAAGCCACUAAUAUAAUAAAAUAUUUGCACGGACUGAUGUGGCUGAAAUAAUCAUGUUUUCUCUGAUUAAUACAGCUUAAUUGACUUCACUACAGAGAAACCAAUAAAGAUUAAAUUGGCCAGAAACCGACAUUCUUAUUCUAAUAGACUAACACACUUAGCUAAAUUUAAUAGAUCGACGUACUUAGUUUAAGUACGCCGGUUAACUGACGUAUUUAGCCAAGUAAGUACGUCGGGGCUGACUGUGUCGGUUGUCCACACAGACGUAUUAAUGAGAAUGUCGCCAUUAAAUAUGUCGUGUUGGGUACUAACACUAUAUGUUAAUUAGGAUUUUAUGCAAUAAAUUGUUGUUAGAUCGAGCCACGAACCAGCUCGCGAGCCGCAUCGAGCUGAGCCGAGUUGACUCGCUUUUUUCACGAGCCAAAAAAUAGGUUUGACUCGGGCUCAUUCUAAGCGUCGAGCCGAGCCAAGCCAAGCCACUGUGAGCUCGAGCCGGCUCGUCGAGCUCGAGCUUUUUUCAGCCCUACCUAGAAGUAUCAUCCACACCCUUAGUCAACUCAAAUAUGUUCAUCGUGUUAGAAAACUAUUACCUCCGUUCUCGGAUACUUGUCGACCGCUAGUUCAUUUUUAAACUUAAACGUGACAAAUAAAAAAGAACGGAAGGAGUAGGUGUUUUUAAGAUUAAAUUAAUUCCUAAAGUAAUUACUACAUGAAUAAUAGGUAAACCAUAUGUAGAAAAUAAUUGCAUAUCUACAUACUAGAAUAAUUAAAUCUAUCUUGAACGCAUCUAACAUAAACAUGAGUGAGGAACUUAUCUUAACUUACUGUGAAAAUCACUCUAGACUGAUCGAAGAUGUGGUAUACUCAUUGAAGUCCGUAGAUGUCAUAAUGCAGAUCAACUCAACAAGUAGACAUAUACUUGUUGCCAAAAACCUAAUUUGGCCCAACCCAUGCAAGUACUUUAAACUAGCAAGGUUUCAGAGAUAACUCUCCCCAGCACCACCAUCACAUCGCCUCAAAGAUGGAGGGGCCUAAGGUCGCACAACACCGAUGUUAUAUCCAGGCCCCGGUGGAUGGUGAUAUCCUGACCCAAGAAUUAAUAGAAUUAUAAGAGUAAUCAUACCAACAAGGUACAUCUUCUUUUUCUGAAGCAUGUCUCUAAAGAACCUUAGGGUUAAGCGUGCAUGGUCCAGAGCAAUCUUGGGAUGGGUAACCGACCGGGAAGUCUUCUUGGGUGCGCAUGAGUGAGAACAAAGUGCGCACAAAAAACUCGUGUUAGUCUGUGGGGAUGAUAUAUGGUCCUAGAGAGCCAUAAUGAGAAAGUACCAGUGGUCCUGGAGUGGAUGGGGUGUUAUAAAUGGUAUUAGAGCCAACCCUCAUGGUUUCACGAGCGUGUGUGGGCUAGGGGUUCGGGCAUAUGACGCAUGGCGCAUGUGGGCCCAGAGUGUCACAUGGCAUGUCAUAUGAUGACACUGGACACAUAGACGUGGCCAAGAGGGUAGGUUCCUGGCUUGGGGUUGACCGACGAGGACGUCGGUCUUCUAAGGGAGGUGGAGUGUGAUAUCCUGGCCGAGUGGAUGGUGAUAUCCUGGCCCAAGGCUUAAUAGAAUUAAUAGAGUACUCAUAUUAACAAGGUGCAUCUUCUUUGUUGAAAGACUGUCUCGAAAGAACCUCGGCGUUAAACAUGUUUGGCCUAAAGCAAUCCUCGGAUGGGUGACCGACUAGGAAAUCUUCUCGGGUGCGCAUGAGUAAGGACAAAGUGCACAUAAAAGACCCAUGUUAGUCUGUGGGGAUGAUAUAUGACCCUAGAGAUCUAUCAUGAGUAAGUACCACUCGUCCGGGAGUGUAUGGGGUGUUACAAAUGGUAUCAGAGCCAACCCUCGUGAUUUCACGGGCGUGUGUGGGCUAGAGGUUCGGGCAUAUGGCGCAUGGCGCAUGUGGGCCCAGAGUAUCACAUUCCAUGGCAUAUGAUGACACUGGACACAUAGACAUGGCCAAGAGGGGAGGUUCCUGGCUUGGGGUUGACCAACGAGGUCGUCGGUCUUCUAAGGGAGGUGGAUUGUGAUAUUCUGGCCCUAGUGGAUGGUGAUAUCAUGGCCCAAGGCUUAAUAGAAUUAAUAGAGUACUCAUAGAAACAAGGUGCAUAUUCUUUGUCGGAAGCCUGUAUCGAAAGAACCUCGGGGUUAAACGUGCUUGGCCUAGAGCAAUCUUGGGAUGGGUGAACGACUAGGAAAUCUUCUCGGUGCGCAUGAGUGAGGACAAAGUGCGCACAAAAGACUCGUGUUGGUCUGUGGGGAUGAUAUAUGGUUCUAGAGGGAUGCUAGGAGUAAGUACAACCGGUCCAGGUAGUGGCGAAUUCAACGCUCGGCUACCAUGUGUAGCUGUCCGGGCUCGUCUAUCGUAUGUUGUGGACAAGUAUACGUAUUCAAGGAGCAAAAUGUAGGUUGGCAUGAGUAAAAAUUGGCAAGGUCUAUCUCGCAAAUCAAAUGCCCAGGAUUUUGAAGUUUUCUAGGUCCGCCACUGGUACGCUUGUAACUUGAAAUGCGCUUCAUAACACCACAUUAACAAAAACACAAUUACUCAACUUGUCAUUACAAAUACGCAAAGAAUCAAGUGUACAGGACAAAUAACAAUUCAUAAUAUACUAUCAACACCUUCUUGGUCUUCAGUUUAUUAUGGAGGCCUUUGUUCACAAAGCAUUCAAGGAUAGACCUCGAUGAUGACCGAUACAUCACCAAUGACGGGUAGAAUUUUGUAGUCUUUGAAUCCAGCUUCAGUGAAGAUCUUCUUCCACUCUUGCUCGUCACGCUCAACUCCGUUAACCGCCAUCAUAUACAAAUCAAACAUAACUUGUGUCUCUUGAUGCUUUAUGUUUGACUGUUUAUAUCCAACUACCACAUCCAAGAUUAUUACCUUCCCACCUGCAUCCCGUGGAGAUAUGGCUUGCUUGCAAUUCUUCAAUAUCUUGACACACUCAUCGUCACCCCAGUCAUGUAGAGUUUUCUGGCAUAGAUUUCAUUAAGUUAAUUGAUAGAUGAUGAAGAAAAGGGUUCUUGGUGUUUGGAUUCAAAGAUAAUAACAUGUAUGUAUAUGAUGUCAAAACUAUUUACUUCUAGUUUCAGGAUUUUUCUGAAGCUUAUUUUCAUUUAUACGAUUUUUUAUAUAAAAUGCAUUUUGUGGAAAUAUUACAAACCAAACGGUUUUAUAAACUGAUUCUAAUUGAUUAUCCAAAAUAUUUAUGAGGGAAUUUAGAUCUGAAUCACUACAAAACAUAGUCUGAAUUAAAUUACAGAGUUGUUCUAAGUCAAACAAAUCUAUUAAAAUAUAGCAUUAUUAUUAGUAUCGUUGAUACAUCAUAAAAUAUAUAUUUUUAUAGUAUACAUGUUCGGUGUUAUAGAUAUCGUUAAUCUAUACUGUAAAAUAAAAUUUUAAUUUAUUUUUGGACGGGGGAGGCAUUUCGCCCAAGACAAGACAAAACGAUAGUCAAAACUUCGAAGUUUGACAUGGAUCUCAAAAUGCAAACACAAUGAGAAAUGGAGGAGGGAGCGGUGACGACGGAUGGUACCUUGAGGAAAACAGCGGUUGCAGGUGGAAUACUCUCAAACAUAUUGCCUGCGACGAACUGCACGUUGCCAUCAGACGGAGCACCGGCGACAACGUGCGGGAGGUCAAGCACGCUGCACUUGAGGUGGGGGAAGGCGGCGGCGAUGGUGGCGGCGGCGCCACCAUGGCCACCACCGACGUCAACCAACGAGUCGAUCCCACGAAACGUCUCGCCGCACUCCCUCAGCACAAUUGGCAUGAGGAAGCGGCUGUCCGCGGCCAUGCCUUUGUUCAGCAAGGCGUUUACGUCGUCAGCAUGUUCCCAGAUCGUUGGGGUCUGGCGGAACGCCAGGCCAUACGGGGACGGCUCGUGCUGCUCCUGCCGGAACCACGCGGAGAUACCCAGGGCGUGCGGACAGGCAGCGAUAGGCUGGAGCGCCAGACUCACAAAGGGAGCCAAGGUCGCCGUGCUCACGUCGUCGCUGACGAGGAAGCGGGAGGCUGCCGUCAACCUGUAGACGACGACAGCUUCGUCGUCCGACGUGUGGACGGUUGAAUCAUCACCACCACCUGCUGGUGGUUGCUCGACGACGCUGAAGAUGCCCGUGACGGUGAGCACGCGCAUGAGGCGGCGAAGGGCGCGAAGCUUGCUUGGGUGGAGCGCAGUCUCGGCGAGGAUCUGGAGAAGGGUGGCGCCGCCGGCCCCGUGGUGGUGGAUCGCGUCGGGGAUGCGGAGGUCUAGCGCCACGGCGAGCGCGAGCGAUUUGGCGAAGCACAGGGAAUGGUGCAAGAGCUCGUCGUGAGCUUGGAGCAAAUCCUGGCUACUACUCUCCUGCAUGAGGGCCAUCGUUCCCACGUACACUGCUGGCCAAUAUGGUUAAUUG
rnacentral:lncRNA from 1 species